rnacentral:lncRNA from 1 species
UUUUUUCUUUUUUUUUUUUAAGUUGUUUUGUUUUCUUUGUUUUUUUUAAUGAAUAUUUUUUUGUUUAAUUUUUUUUGUUUAUGUUAAAUUUUUUUCUAUUUAGUUAUCAAACUUUCAUUACAUGGGUUCCGGGUUUGACGCGUUAACCCGGAUUUUUUUUGUUUUUCUUUUUAAUUAAUUUUUUCGUUUAAUUUAGUUUGUUAAUGUUAAAUUUUUUCUAUUUAGUUAUCAAACUUUCAUGACAUGGAUUCCGGGUUUGACGGGUUAACCCAGCUAUUUCUGGGUUAACCCGUAAAUUAUUUUUUCCCUAUUCAGUUAUCAAACUUUAAUGACACGAAUCCCAGAUUUGACGGGUUAACCUGGUUUGAAGGAUUAACCCAGAUAAUUCAGAUUUUUUUCUUUUUCUUCAUUAGUUUUUUUCUUCAUGUAGGAUUUUUUUAAAAAAAUUAAUAUUUUUUUUGUUUCGUAUUUUUGUUUUUUUUUUUUUUAAUUAUUUUUUAAAAUUUAGUUUGUUAAUAUUUUUUUUUUAUAUUUAGUUAUCAAACUUUCAUGAUACGAAUCCCAGGUUUGAUGGAUUAACCUGGUUUGACGGGUUAACCCAGUUAAUUCAGAUUUUUUUUUCUUUUUCUUCAUUAGUUUUUUUUCUUCCUGUAGGUUUUUUUUCCUUUGUUUUUGUUCAUUUUAGUUUAUUAAUGUUAAUUUUUUUAUAUUUAGUUAUCAUACUCUCAUGACACGAAUCUCAGGUUUGACGGGUUAACUUGAUUUGGCGGGCUAACCCAGUUAAUUCAUAUUUUUUUUCUUUUUCUUUAUUAGUAUUUUCUUCCAUUUUUUUCUUUAAAUAUUGUAAUUAACAAUAACUAAAAGACAUCAAUCUUUUUUCUUCCAAUUUUAUAACACGAAUCCCAGGUUUGAUGAGUUAAACUAGUUAAUUAAUUUUUUUUUCUUUUUCUUAAGUAGUUUUUUUCUUUCAAUUUUAUUUUUAAUAUCGAUUUGAUUAAGAAUUAAACUUUAUGAUUUAUUUUGUUUACUGGUCAUUAAAUUAUUGUGAUCUCAUGAGGGGAUUUUACCGUGCCCCUCCUUGCAAAGCACUAUUCAUCAGAAUAAUACUUUGUUUUAUUGUUUAUUUCUUUUCAAUUAAUUUUUUUUUAAUUUUAUUAUGUAAUAUUAAUUUUUUUUUCUUUUUAAUUAUCACACUUCUAUAACAAAACCUUGCAACCAGACUCAUAUCAAAGGCUCCGUGUUUGAUGUUGCCACCAAACUCACUUAAAUUUGGGCUAUGCAAGUUUAAUAUUAUUAUUAAUAUAACUUUUGAAUCAAGAGUAACAGAUAGACCCAAUGCUUUUAAGUAUAACUUUAUAGAAAAACAUAACACUCUUAAAUUUUAACUUUUUUGAAUAUUUUUUAUAUAAAAAACAUUGACCCGCAGCGUAGCGUGGGCCACAUUUCUAGUUAAGAAUUAAAAAAGAAGAGGAUUGGACGUAUAAUAGGAGAGAGAUCAUUAUCGCACAAUUUUAUUUUAUUUUGUCUCUCAAUUCUCUUUUUUUUUAUUUGGUUAUGUAACAUUGCAUUGAUUUAGAAUUAGCCUUGGUUAUUUGCCUUUUAUGCUCAUGUAUAGGGAUCUGAGAGUGUUAAGACAAUAUUUUGUCGCUUAGUUGGACAAAAAAAAUCUAUAUGCUUAUCAAAUCAUUAUAUGAUUUGAAAUAAUAUUUAGACAAUAACAUAAAAAGUUUGACAAAGUUAUGUUGUCAAAUAAAUUUAAAAUCAAUGAAGUUAAUAAUUAUGUUUAUGUCAAAAUUAUAGAUAAAAGUUAUGUUAUUAUAUAUUUUUAUGUGGACGAUAUGCUUAUUUUUAUGCAGUAAUGACUAUAUGAUCAAGUCUACAAAGAAAAUAUUAACAAAUAAGUUCGACAUGAAAGAUUUGAGUUUUGUAAAUGUCAUACUAGAAAUUAUAAUUUCUAGAAAAUCUGAUGGAUUGAUAUUUCUCUAAUCUCACUAUGUUGAGAAAGUUAUUGAUAGAUUUUCUAAAGGUAAUAAUAAUAUUGUGAAAACAUCAAUGGACAUAAGUGUCCACAUGUCCAAAAAUAAAAGCAUGAGGAUUAGCUAAUCAGAAUAUUCUCAGAUUAUUAAAAGUCUGAUGUAUGUUAUGAAUUGCACAAGAUCUAACAUUGCUUACUCGAUUAGUAAACUAAGUAGAAUUAUUAGUAAUUUGAGUACAGAUCAUUGAGUAGCAAUUAAAUGGGUACUUAAAUAUUUUAGGUACACUUUUAAUUAUAGAAUAGUUACCCAAUGAUACUAGAAGGGUAUAAUGAUGCCAAUAAAAUAUCAAAUACUAAGGAUUCAAAAUCCACUAGUGGAUAUCUUUUUACACUUGGUGGAGAAUUAUGUCACAUAAACUUUAUAAGCAUAUAUGUAUUGCAAUAUCCAUGAAGAAAUCAAAGUUUAUUGUUCUUGAUAAAACUUUAGAGUAAACUGAAUUACUUUAGGAUUUCUUAGAGGAUAUUCCAUGUUGGCUACAAUCAACACCAACAAUUUGUAUCAAUUGCAACAAUUAGUUUACAACUGGAAUGAAAAAAAUAAUAUGUAUAAUAGUAAGUAUAGACAUAUACGUACUUCAUAUACAUAAUAUCAUUAAAACACUUUCUUUUCAAUGGAAUUAUUUUCAUUGGUUAUGUAAAGUCAAUGAAAAAUAUUACAAAUCUGCUAACCAAAGAUUUAUCAAGAGAGUUUGUGUAUAAUUCAUUAAGUGUAAUGAUGGUAAUCAUACCUAGUUGACUGAAGAUCCUAAUAUCUAGGCUCAAAUAAAAAACUAAGUCAUAUAACAUUUUUAGUAGCACUUGAAAGUGGUGCUAGCUGUAACAUGAAAAAAAAGUUAAUUAUACUCUUAAUGAUUUUUAUAUCUUGGUAUACCAAGUGGAGUAUAGUAAAAUACUCUUAAUGAAAGAUCAUCUAUAUAAGUGAGAAUUUGACAAUUUCUUUAAGAAUUUUAAAAAGGUUAAUUAUUCACUAAAGCACCCAUAAAACUAGGAGUUGUUUACGUCUAAAAUUAACACAACUAUGAGAACCAAAUGAAACUUUAGGUAAUGAGAUAUAUGAGUACUAUUGUCUUGGUUUACACAAAAAGAUGAAUAGUUUGAGACAUCAUGUUUAUUAUUUAGCAAUCUAAGACAUGUUAAAAGCUAAAUAAUACCUCUUCUGAAGUGAUGAUCUACCAAAUCAGUAUCUCUUUAUGAGUUGUUUGAGUCUUUAUACUGGUCAGACUAUUUCCAUUCAUAAUUGGCUUUAUGAAACAUGUAAAUGGUCAUUUUUAAGGCCAAAUUAAAUGUAAGGUCUACUCACAUUUGGGGUUAAAACCACUUUGGAUUUUGAAAUCUAAUAUAAGUACUUUAACAUGAAAUACUAACAUGUUUUAAAAAACCAAUUAAAAGUGAAUGAGAAAUUAUUCUCCAAUAACCUUUGGAUAACAAAAUUUUUCAAACCAAAAUAUUUUUAUGGAUCGGGUUGUGGACUUGUUGACUAAUGAGUUUGAGCUUGAGUUUGAUUAAUGAAAAAUAUUUUGCUAUUAAGUCCUUGUUUGAUUAGUAAUUUCUUUUAGUUUCUAAAAUAUCUUAGUACAUGAACCAAUACAUUAAUUAUAUGAUAAUAAUGGGUGUAAUCAUGAGUAAUUCAUGAGCUAUAAACAUUUAUGAAUAUUUUUCAUGAACUAUAAACAUUCAUGAAUGUGUUUCAUAAAAUGAACAUUCAUUAUAAUUAAUAAAUGAAUUAUGAGAAAUUAAUGUUUUGAUUCCCUUGUCUUAUAAAUAGGUGUCUUGGAUAGAUGAAAAGUUAUAUAAAAUUAAUUUCUGAAGUUUUUUUCUCUCUUUGUUGUUGGUUUUUCUUAGAUUUGUUCUUCUACCCUUUCUUUUUUAUUCUAGAGCUUAGGUUUGGCCUUUGUAUAGAGAUAUCGAGUACAAUAUUUUUGAGUUCGUUUGACCUUAUUUAUGUGUGCGCCUAAACAAAUAAGACUUGUUGGAAUCAAGUAAGACUUGUUGAAGUUAGUCAUUUUACACCAAGUGAGAAUCAAUAAAGCCUUAAAAACAAAUGAUUAAUCUUUCACAACAACAAAGUUUUACAUUGUAUAUAUUCUAAGGAUUCCAACAAGUAAAUACUCUAAACUAAUUUUGUUUAAGUAUAAUUUCAAUAGUUGUGUUAGUUUGCAUGCUAAGAUUAUUUUUCCUAUAUCUUUUGCAAUAUAUAUAUACAUGCUAGAUUUCUGUACUGAUUGCUUUUAUAUAUUUGCAUAGUUAUGACUAAACAACUAGCUACUUAUUUAAUAAUGUAAUUAUUGGACAAUUAAGAAUGGAAUAGUUAUAUCCCAUUGAGUACAAUCUAAUCUCAUAUAUAUACUUACCAAAUAUAUGCUCAAGUGACUUUUUCUUUGCAAGCAAGUAACACAGUUUAUUAUCCAAAUUUAAAUUAAUUUUAGUUAAACAUGUUUAAAUAAGAUAUACCUUUUUUUUGUGUGUGGCUAAAACAGACACAAAAAUAUAUUUCAAGAAAUAAAACAAUGACAUUUUUUUGACAGUAUCCCAUUACUUGAAAGAUCAACAUUAUCUGUCAUUGCUUUGACAUCUGAUAUUCCAAAAGAGAGUUUUUGCUAAUUAUAGAUAUUACCAUUAAAUCCUCCAACUAGCAUUAUAGAAGCAUGCAUGAUAUAUAGUGAGGGAUAUAAUUAGCUAACAAUUUAUGGGGUUCUAACUAAGCAUACGGUUGCAUUUUGGCUUUUGUACGUAAUUUCUUAAAUAUUCCAUUUUUGUUUUCACUAUUUUUUAAAAAAAUAUUGAAACCGUUUUGCAAUGUCGGGGUAGUUUCGGUUUCAAAAUCUCCAAAAGAUCACAUUGUAACACACCAACAAAUUUAGGGAUGUCAUUGCAAUUUUAAGGUUUGAGAAAUAUCCAAGGUUGUCCCUCCACAUAAACAUUGAACAUAAAUAAAUCCAGGCUGUGUUUUAUUAGAAUCUGUCUGUCAAACUAACGAAAGAGAGUUAAUUGCCCACCGAAACUUGUCUUUUAUCUCUCCCUUAAUUCCCUUUUUCUCAGUGAAACACGCAAUAUAUAUAUGGAUAACAAAAAGAUUAGAUACGUAGCCGGGUUUAUAGAGUCUGGUUUUAUAAUCCAAAUAAAACAGCUAUUUAAUCAGGAAUGUGACUUAGCCAUUGCGUUAAGCAUAAUUAGGAUAUGAUUAAUUAAGAUCUAAUGGUCGAUAUUUCAUCCGAAAACAUCUCAUAAAAUCUCAACCCUUUUAAUUUAAAGUAACAUGUAGAAUGGAUUAUUUAAGUGUUUGACUUGGUUGGUUUUUCCUGAUGUGAUGUGACCUAUUCACAGAAAAUGACCAAAUUUUCCUAAUAAAAUUGGCAAAAAUAUAAAUAGGAUACGUGUUGCCAUAGUAAGGGAACCAGGACCUAUAAAUAUAGGCUCAGCCUCAUUCGCCAGACAAUGAGUAAUUUGCUUCUAGGUUAUAAUCGCGCAUCUCUCUCUAGCCGAAAAUGGUGAAAGAGGCAGCAAGAAAGUGCUCCCAUUGUGGCCAAAAUGGCCAUAACUCAAGAACAUGUACUAAGGAUUGUAUCAAAUUGUUUGGAGUUAGCAUUGAAAAACGUGAGCAAACAAUUAAAGGAAGUGCUAGCUUAGAUAACAUAGCGUCCUUAGAUGACGUAAACGGUGCACAUCAUGUCGACCCUGGCUAUAGUUCCGACGGCGUUAUCGGUUUUAAGAGAGGCAGAACAGCGUAUACAAGGAAGAAAGGUACGUGUGAUCCAUUUAUUACAUCUCAUCAUUCAUCUCUUUGUUACUAAAUGCUAAUAACAAUCUCGAUGUUCACCGCGCCGGCAAUUCCCGUACCCUGGACGGCAAUAGCAUAUGGGAAUACGUACCGAAUGCCUUCCAGUCGAUCAUCAUCGAUAAUAGCUAUGGCAUGCGAUGACAAUCGCUUGAGGUUUUUUUUCAUAAAAGAUUUCAAUUAUCGCAGUGGUUUAUGGUUAUGCCAUGGGAUAAUCGCACUUGUUAUUGUUUUAUUGUAUCUCUUCUAGGGUUAAUGUAUUGCCCGGAUUCUACUCGUUUAUGUUGCGUCUGUUUCCAUCGCCACCGGGUUUUUUUUAUUCUUUCCGUCACCGAUCAUGUCUGCAGAUAACACAUAUAUUCUAUUUAUAAAAGAAUAUCCAUACACAAAUGGAAGAUAAGUUUGUUGGUUUGUUUUAUUGAUUUUUAUUUCAUGUUGAUAUAUAUCAACCAGAUCUGGGCAUGGGUGACACGAAAUAUCUGAAAGAUAGAUAUGGUGUGUGUUUGGUUUAACGUAUAUCAUUUUCAAGGACCAUUGGAAGCGAGGUCUGGACAAUGGAUCAUGGAUUUAAUUAUUUGUGUGUUUGAUUAACCUCUCGUAUCAUUUCCAGGCAAGCCAUGGACCGAGGAGGAGCAUAGAACGUUUUUAUCUGGUCUAAGCAAUCUUGGCAAGGGCGAUUGGAGAGGCAUUUCGAAGAAAUUUGUGAUUACUAGGACCCCAAGUCAGGUUGCAAGUCACGCACAGAAGUAUUUUCUGAGACAGCAGGCUUCAAAUGAGAAGAAGAAACGUAGAUCAAGCCUCUUUGACAUGACCUUCAAAGGAACUGUAUGUCUCUUACAGCAUCCACAACAAUAUAUAGCAAUUUCUCUUUCCCCGUGAUAAUUUACUGGACUUUGAUGAUCUUAAUUAUUACAGCAGGAUCUGGCUUCUCAUCAGGAUGCUCCGAAACUGCCUUUAAUUAAGACUUGUGGGAGCUCAUCACAGGUAGUUCUAGCUUGCUUUUCAACUUUAUUCGCUCAAAAGUUACUUGUUUGAACAAGUGAAAUUAGGUUUAAUGGCUUGUUGCAAUCAAACAGGCUAGCACCUCUUCAGUUUCACCAUUGGGGAAAGCUGGCGAGGAUAUCCCAUCACAAGUAAGUUCCACCUUCAGCAAGCAACUUUAUAUAUCAUUUAACUGUAUAGAACUUGCUAAUCAUGUGUUUUUCUUCAUCUUCACAGGCUAUCAGCCCUUUACACCUCAUCAACCAAUUUCCUUUGCUUUGCUUGCAUAAUCCCCAGGUCAUGAGUCCUACUCAUGUCUUAGCCGGUACUGGCGUUUCAAACUACAAUCCUUGCAUGGUAAGAAAAAGUUUGGCUCUUGAUACAUAUUUUUGUGAACUUUGACGGCAUUAAUUGAAAAAAUUUCUCUUCAGAACCGAGCUGCCUCUUUUAUUUAAGGUACACAAACAUUCAUCCUAUUAUCCCCUGGCCUGCUCCUUUGCAUCAUUCAGAAUUUACCUAGUCUGAAACCCUAAGCUUUCUAGUUUACAAGCCAGAUAUGUUCUUCACAUGUUAAUUAUAUGUUUUUGGCAUCUAGAUAGAUAAAAGCAAAUAUUUCCUGGAAUUAGUAAAUCAACAUUACUUCAAUUCUGUGAUUACAAAGUACCAUUUUCUUUUCUUUUUCUUUUUCUUUUUAAAUUGUUUCUCCAAUAAAUAAUUCUGAUCAUCACCUAUCUUCUUACAGCAACGAGCCCUUGCCAAUGGACGGCGGAGCUUUCCGGCUAGUAAAGCAGCACCCUUUGUCUCGAUGAUGAACUAUCCAAGGGCCUACCAUCCUUACAUGCUUAACAGCCCUGCAAGCCUGGCUGGUUGCGCACCUUGUAUUGCCCAUCAACCAUCCGGUAUCCCUUCACCAAGUUCAUUUCCUCAGAGCUUUUCUCCACAAGGUGCUUCAACUUCAUUAGCAAAAAUGGAAGACCCUCUUGAGCUUAAAAUUGGACAACCCCCUAAAUCCCCCCAAGGAGCAAAUUUAUCACCUCCGUCAUCUGGUGCCAUUAGUGUUAUAUGAAGAAAUUUAGCUUCGAAGUUCCCUGCAUUAAGCAGCAGUACGUGGAAGUCUAGACUAGAUUUUAUAUACUUCAGUUACUGUGCAUUAAUAAAGUUUUGAAUUAUAGAUUUUUUUUUUACCAAUUAUUUACCCUUUUUUGAUUUAUUAUUAUUAUUAUUAACAAGAAUAGUAAUGUGUUUUUUUUCCUUUUCUUUUCAAUUUUUUUUUAUCAUUUUCAUAUUUCAAUAUUGAAUUUAUUGGGAAUUGAACUUUGUUAUUUAUUUUAAUGUCCUUUAAACAAGUUAUUAUAAUCUCCAAAAAAAAUCACAACAUUGGGUUGGUGCUUAGUUUUACGGUCGUUUUUUUUUUCUAUCGUAUUAUUAAAUAAAAAUGGUGUAUCAUAUUAUUAAAUAAAAAAUGAUUCUGAAAAAGAUGUAAUUAUUAUGAAUUGGUCUUCAUGAUUUAUUUCAACUUACUUUCUAUAAAGUUAUCAUAAUAUUUGAAAAAUAUGUCAGCAUUGGGCUGGUGCUUGAUUUUUUGAGCAAUUUUUUUUAUCAUAUUAUUAAAUAAGAGAUUAUUCUAGAAAUAAAAAAUAUAAUUAUUGAGAAUUAAUUUUCAUGAUUUAUUUUAAUUUAUUUUUUAUAAGGUUAUUGUGGUCUCAUAAAAAUAUCUUGGUAUUGUGUUGGUACUCAGUUUUGCAAGCGUCUACAUUUUUAUCAUUUAAUUGAAUGAAAAUCAUUUCAAGAAAAAAAAAAUAAAGUUAUUAAAUUCAAUGAAGUUCAUGACCCAGGUCAUGGGUUUAGUGGGUUAACUUAAGUUUACCCGGGUUGAUCUAAUGUGUCGACAACUCAAUAUUGUUUUAAGAAAAGUUAUAGCCUUGAAAAUAUUUUUAAAGUCAAAUCAUGUUUUAGCAAUCAUUCGAGUUUCUUUUAACCUGCCAAGUCAGUCGGUUCACGCUGAGGCAAUUAUAUACAAUUUAAUUUGAAGCUUGAGGUAGAUAAAGAGCAUGGUCAUAGGUUUUAUGUUCAACCCAUUGAGUUGGUUUAAUGACACUGUCAAAGAAUUUCACUUGGUCUAGGCAUUAUUUUUUUACAUGUAAAAAAAUCUUGGUCUCGCUGUGACUUAACACUAGGAAUUAUCUUGUCCAAUACUAAAAGUCAUGUUUGAUCUUUCAAUAUGUGUCAUCUCAUUCCCAUAUUUAGGCAUCAUAUGCAAAUGGUUAAUUUCUUGCUUUCUAGAGCAAAUAAGAGGAGGAAACUAAAACUUUUGGUUUUUGUCCAUAGUGUUUUGUAUUAUAAAGAACAAUGUGAUUUUAAGUGUUCCUAUAAUGUGGAAAAGUUUAAUUUGGUUUCUGAAGUUUUUAAUUUUUACAUAUUUAUUGAUCCCUAUAUGAUUUUAAGUGUUAAUGUUUCAAUUCCAAAACUUUUUUUUUUAUGUUGAGAGUGGAAAAGAAAGUCAUUAGUACAUGAAGAGGAGAAAGCGUUUUCAACCGCCAUACUUUGAUCAUAAAAAAGCCAAUUUUGAUGUUAAUGGGUUCACAACAAAUUGAAUAAAAGCAACAUAGAUAUUUAUGUAAUAUUUUUUUGUUAUGGUUUACCAAUUGAAACCACAAUAAAAAAUUUCUAUUGGUAAUUUUAAACAGAAACAACGAUGUAAUACUUUUUUUUGGCAUUGCUAACAUGUCAAUUGACAAAAAUUCCAUCGGUAAUUUUAAGAGAAAUUAAAACCCAACAGUAGUUCUCAACUCAUUUUUAUAUUCUUUUUUCAAAACAAAUUAUAACAACUCUCUCAUCUCCAUAAAAACGUUCGACAACCCCCUCAUAAGCUCUACAAAUCUAACCACCAUAACUUGUAAACAUUAACACAACAUUCCUUCAAAGGCCCGAGCUUCUUUCCCUUGAUUUCAUUUUUUGUCAAGCUUCACUUUACCAGCUUUGAUAUUCAUUAGGGAUGAUAAUGACAAUAAAGCCCUUGGUUUGUAAUAACUUUCGAAGUUACAUGGUUUGAACCAUUAUUUUGUUGGUACCUAUUUAAAAUCUUUCAAAACCUCGAGGCUCUAAAUCCAAUUAUAAUUAAGAAUGAUAAUGACCUGGCUUCUAAAUAACACCAAUAAUAAUAUUGUUAAUGUCCUGGUUCUGAUAAUCUAUUCAUCCUUCCUUGGCAAAGUGGCUAUCUAUUAUCGAUGGCUUUUUAGAAGUUCUCACAAACGAUGUCAUUGAUUAGGUCUAUUUAUAUCUCAUAGGUUUGAAGGCCAAGUUGAGGCCUGAGAUAAUAUUGUUAAUGUCCUGGUUCUAGCAAUAUAUUCAUCAUUCCUUGGCAAAGUGGCUAGUAAAUUAUGCUUGUUACCUGUAAAAUGUCAUUUUUUAAUAUAUUUAGGAACUCUUCAACAAUUAAAUUAAUGUUUUCAGAGGGAGAUCAAUUAUACUUUUGAGAAAAUGAUUUUUUAGGAUAGAUCUACCAUUGUAAAAUAGAGAGAAGAAAACUAAACUUGCAUGGAGAUUAUCUUUUAUAUAUAUAUAUAUAUAUAUAUAUAUAUAUAUAUAUAUAUAUAGCUUUUGGGGUCUUUUCCUUUAUGCUAGGGGAAAGGGUUGGCAUAUUAGCAAAAUAUCUUUGUCUUGUCAAAAUAAAAUAUCUCUUACGUAUUAGGAUAAGAUAUCCUUGUCUUGUUAGGACAAAAAUAUCUCUAACUUAUCAUGAUAAAAUAUCUUUAACCUAUGGUUUUAUUGGGGAGCUUGAGAUUCUUUUGGAGUUAAAGAAAGUAUAGGACUAGCAUUGGUGAAUCUAGUAGAUUGUCAAACUCAUAAACUUUGAAAGAUGGUGAGUCUGGCAGCUCACCAGACACACGUUUGUCUGGGUUCAGCGCUUAACUAAGCUUAAAGAUGGUGGGUUUGACAGCUUACGAAACUCAUACACCCUAGACUUGAUGAUUAACUGAGCAUGAAAAUCAUGAUAGAACCUUGCACAUCUGGGCUUAAUGCUUGGAUAUGCCUAGAAAUGGUGGGUGAUAGCCCUCUUUUUGACCAUGCUUAUGAAAGACAGUUCCAUAUAAAUAAAAAAACAAUAAAUAUUGAUCCAUUACACAUCUAUAAAGCAUAAAUUCUUUGCACAAAACACACACACACUCUCUAGUGUUGAAUUCAUGUGGGCUUUGAGUUCAGAGAUUUGUUCAUGUUCUUUAGUCUUGGAACAUAUGGUGUAGAUUUAGGAUUUUAAAUUAAUUAGUUUUGAAAUAUCAAGAGAUUUGGCAUUUUGAAUUUUUGUUUGUUUAUUUGAUCAAAGAUCAAGAGAAUUUAUAAAAAGAUCAGUGGAAUUUAAUUACUCAAUGUUUAUGUAUUUUAUUUGUUAUUGGCAAGGAGAUAGAUUAGAAAUAAUAUCGUUGGUUGUAGAGUGGGUUCAACUCAUCUCUUCUCAUAAAAAAAGAAAAAGAAAACAUAAAGAAAAAAAUAAAUACCUAAUGAAUUUAUUAAAUAUUAAUGAAAAAAAACGUAGAUUUUAUCAUUUGAAUUUUUUGAAAAAAAAGUUGUGUAAAUGGAUAAAUAGGUCGUGUCAACAACACAUUUUUAAAAGAAAAGGAACGAUAAAAUAAAAGGAUUUAUUUCCUUUCUUUUAUGGCAUUUUACAACAAAACAAAUUAUGUUCCACUUGGGGUAAUUUUGUAAACCACGUGAUAGUUGUCACCUAGAAAAUAAUAAUAAUAACCCUUAAACCAAACCAAAAUAAAAGGCAAAUAAAAGUAAAAUCUGAAACCUGGAGGGUGGCGUCACACUAUCAAAUAUUGCAUAGUUAAGCUCAAUGAGAGGGCUGUAUCAAUCAUAAGAGUGCAAAAAGACUCCUAGAUAAAUCCAAGGUUUGCCUAAAUUGUAAUAUGCUGGACAAACUUGCAAGAGUCUGUGAAGGAUUAAGACAUCAAUAUAUAUAUAUUUUUUUGAUAUAUUCAUAUUAAAAAUAAAAUAAAAACAAAUCACAAAAAAUAUUUUUAAAAAACAACUUAUACUAUAAUACCAAACACACAAGCAAAGAUUGCAUGUGUAUUCUAGGAAGCAUGAAAUUUGCCUCAAGAGAUUUCAAAUUAACAACGGAAAUUGUUCGGCUAAUUGAAAAUAAAUGACAAGAAGUUUGUGCUUCAAACACUUGGGGAAGUCCGUGGAAGAAAGAAUAUAACAGUAACAUUUAGUACCUGCAUGCCACGCAUCUUUUGUACAAGCCAUUUAACAAAUAGAAUCAAGACUAGUAACAAUAAGGAACUUUGUUGAAUUUCUUAUGGAACAACUGAGAAAGCACAUUUUUUAACAGUUUAAAACGGGGGUAGUCUGCUGUUCAAGGACAGCUGAGAAACCAUGCAAACUAGGAAGAGCAGCAGCCAGUGUUCUGGUUAACAGGCUGUCCACGUAUCUGCACAGUGGGUGGCCUUGCAUUGUUCGCUGCAGGUUGACUUGCCAUCCUGUGGAAGUAGAGGAAAUUAUGAGGAAGGAAACUGCUAAGAAACGUACUUGUUUCUUUACCGCUCAACAAACCACUUUUUCUCAGUGCAUCUUCUCACUUUAAAUCUAUGUUCUAGUAUUUCACAAAUAUAUAUAUCACCAAUUCAUUUAAAAAGGUACCUGUUCUUGAUGUCAGCAGCCAUGGCCAUAAAGGCUUGCUCCACAUUGAUGGCAUUUUUUGCACUUGUUUCCAUGAAGGGAAUACCAAUUUCAUCUGCAAAUGCCUUUUGAAAGCCAGAUAAACAGUAGGAAAACAAGCAUACUUUAGUAAUCAGUAGUUCAGAAGCAACUAUGGUGAUAGAUGAUAGCAUGGGAGAUCAGUUUUACCUUAGCUGUUUCAUAUGAAACAACUUUGUUGGCAGUGAGGUCGGACUUGUUCCCAACCAGAAGCUUGUUAACAUUUUCACUUGCAUAUCGAUCAAUUUCAUUUAACCAUUGCUUAACAUUGUUGAAACUCUCUUGGUCUGUCACGUCAUAAACUAUCUGCGAAAUGAUGCAGCAUUAACAAAAACAAAUUUAGGGAUACAAGAGGUAAAAUGCCAAAAAUAUAAAUGAACGCCAAACUCACUAUAAUGCCAUGUGCCCCACGGUAGUAGCUGCUAGUGAUUGUCCUGAACCGCUCUUGCCCUGCAGUGUCCCACUGGAAAAGGACACAAGGCAGACAUCACCAGCAAACAGAAGAAAAUUUGACAUGAACAUUGUUGUUGUCCAUUUUUGGCCACCCACAUAAACAAAAAAUCAGAAAAAAAAAGAAGAAAAAAUACAAAAACAAUUGAAAAAAUGUUGGAAGAAAAUAAAAAAUAUAUCAAUGAGAAGAAUAUACCAGAACACCCAGAAAAUUGCCAGAAACUGAUUAAGACUUGUACAAGAUUAGGAAAUUUGACAAUGUAUUUUCGAGGGAUUAAGGCUCUAUUGGCAAAGAAAAAUUCAAUUUGAGAAAGGAAAUUCAAAAUUGGAUGUUCAAGGACUCAAUUUGAAUUUUUUAAGGUCUAAUUGAAUUUAUUGAAAGAAAAAUUGAUUCUUUGAAGUCAAUUUAAGCAUUAAUUAGAAGAAAUUAGAGUCUGGGGGUUGAAUUACAAUUUUUAAAUGUUAAUUUAGUCAAAUUAGGGCCUUAAUUGCAUAAAUAUUGAAGUUUAAUUAGCAAAAGGGGCGGAAAAAAAGUAAAGAGAGGAAAAAGAAAAAAAAUAUUGACAAGGAAGAUAAGUGUGAGAGGCAAAACUUUCCAAAUAAAAGAAAAGAGAGAGAGUAGCUAUUCUAGGUAUAUCAUCUUAUCCAAAAGCAAGCCUUUGUGGCCUACUUAAGGUGUUUUUUUUAUUUGUUUUGUUUUAUAUUGAUGUCUACAAGCAUAGUAAAGAGGUUUAGAAUGUUUAACAAAUAAUGUUACAUUCACCUCUUUGUUGUUGUGAUAUUUAUUUAAUGAAGCUAUUUCGAUCUUUUUGAUACAUUAAAGUUUUUGUUUAAGUUUGUUUUUGAUAUACAAUAUUGUUUUAGUUUUUGUUUAACUUAGGCUAUGCAUGUUAAAGUAAGAGUGUUUAACCUGGGUUUGUUAGGCUUGUUCAUGCACAAAAUGAGUUCAUUAAACUAAAUUUGAAUCCAUGUUAUAUGAAUAUAUAUAUAUAUAUAUAUAUAUAUUGUUUUAAGUUGAUAGUUUUUUUGAUUUAGUAUCUCAUGUUUGAUUUUGAUGCUUUGAUAUAUUUUUUUUUUGUUAAUUUCUUGGUUCAAACAUGUGUGUAUGAUAUUAUGACUUGUUGGGAUAAAAAAGCAUGCUUUAGAAGCCAAAAAUUCCAUUUUCUGGGCUUGACAGUGGCUGCCUUUGCUAGAGAUUUUCUGGGUUUUCUGGGUAUGUUCUUCAGGUUUUUUGAAAGAACAUUGCCUUAACCCCUAGAUUUGGAUCAUAUUUGGUCCAUUUCUCUACACAAACACCUUCAUUAUGCAUAAUUAGUAGAUAAUCUAGUGUUUAUUUGCAUCAAUAACAUGUUUUUUGAGUGUCUAAUCUGUUUUUUGGCUUUUGUUUUGUUUUUGGGUUGUUUUCAGAUCAAAUCAGAAUUUUUUGUUCGGUUUAUGGUUGAAUAAAAAAUUUCAGAUCAACCCCCCAAUCAGGUCGUAUAAAAAAAAAAAGGGUCAAAGGGUGUUUGGUUUGCCAUAAUUUUUUUUAAAGGAUUUCAAUACCCACAUGAUAUCGAGUAGUAGAUCAAAGCAAUCAAGUCACAAAUACAACUAAAAUUUGAAAAUCAGAGGAUCGCAAUGCUAUUCAUUAUACCAGACGCACGAGGAGUUAAAGACACAAAAAGUUAGUAUAAUAGAAACAGGAGACAAACAUAAAAUAAGUCUCGAACAAUUCUCAAAAUGAUGUUAUUGGGAGCUACCCUAUUAAAACUUGAGGUGUUCACCGUAAUAAGUUUCCCCUGAAUACUAAACAAACAAUAUCUCAGAAUAUGAAAAGAGCAUCUUACAAUUUGAAGUUUAAUGGUUUUUCCAUCUUGCUCCACAGUGCGAAUUUUCUGCAGAACAGAAAAUCAAAUUUAUCAGUCGCAUUCUCAAAUCAAACCAACAUUAGCGCAAGUCAACAACUCUCUAGAAUCUUACGAAGUCAACUCCAAUUGUGCUGAUGUAACUUUCCAGAUACGAAUCAUCCUGCAUUGAAAAGAUUAAAAAAGCAAAUUCAACGCAUCAAACCUUCACAAUCUAAUGAGCUUGCAAUGACGGCAAUCAGCAAAAAGAGAAGACAACAGGCCAAAAAAAUUUAAUCUUACAGCAAAUCUCAAAAGCAGACAGGAUUUGCCAACACCAGAAUCCCCAAUCAGCAAAAGCUUAAACAAAUAAUCACUGCCACCAAAACAAAAUUAUUCAAUUAAUUUACAACCCAUAUCAUAAAACUGAAGCACACACAAAACCCACAAACCAGAACCAAUGAAUCACCCUUAUUACUACAGAUCCAAUUAGCCCCCUAAAAUAUUUUCACAUAUCCCAACAAAAUCCAAUUCUUUAUACGAAAAGUUUCAAAAAAAAGUCGAGAUCUUUGUAACUUACUAUUCAGGUGUCAUGGCUGUUAGUAAAUUCGACCGGGAAUUGAACCGGUCUGGAGAGUAACGUUAACGAAUCUGAAAUCUGACAGGCAAAGGUAAAAACUAUGAGAAAGAGAGUUAUGAGCGACGAUAAAAAUGGAAAACCAAGAAGUAUUUUUUAUAUAUGUAUAUAAAUAUAUAUGGGACCGGCAGCUUGGGGGCUUUAAAUAGUUAAUAUAACAUAGGACCAGCCCGAGGUGGCAGUCUGAUUACUAAUAUACGGACCGUUAAACUUCAAUACUAGAAAGGGAACAACCCCAAACUUACAAAGCCCAAGAGACAUUAAGCACACUUGUGUGAUUGGUCAGGCUUAGCUCGUUUAUUGCCUGAUUGUAAUUAUUUUUUAAAUAAUUUUUUAUGUUAAAAUAUAUAUUAAUGAUAUUUUAAUAUUUUUUAAAUUUUAUUUUUAAUAUCAGUAUAUCAAAAUAAUUUAAAAAUAUUAAAAAUAUAUUAAUUUAAAAUUAAUAAAAAAAAUUUAAUUUUUUUUAAAAUACUUUUAAAAUAUAAAAACUUGAAUCAAAUUUUAAGCUUUACAUGAGUCUCUGAGUCAUGGCUUCCUAUGAUUUUUGGCUCAACUUUAUGUUGGCAGAGUGCAAAACCAGGAACAUCUAUGAUCACAAUUUUUUUGCCUUCAGUUUUUUUUUUUUUUUGAAACAAAUUGAAUUCGACUUGUUAGAUAGCUGCAUGCUCUUCAUUUUUUUUCUAUUUUGAUUAUAUUCAAUAAGAUUUUACUUUUUAUUUAUUAGAUCAUUUCUUUUUAAUUUGAUUUGUUAUAAUUUAAUUCACUAGAUGAUUUUGUUAAAUAAAUUAAAUAUAAAGUAAUAAUUUUCAGCUCAUAAUAUUGUGUCCAAUCUCUAUGAAAAUAAACUUUAGUGUCAUAACUCAAAAUAUAUUUUGUUUGUCAGAUCAUUUUGGACCUUGACCUACGUAUUGUUUUUUUUCCUUGGUACAGUUACAAGAAAGGCCUGUCGUACAUAAUUAGCUUUUACAGUUCAAACCUAACUUUACAAACAGUAACUGAUUUGAGCCCAAUUACAAGCGCAAAAUUGAUUCGGCUUUUCUGGAAAAAUGCCCGAAUUAAGUUCAGAAAAACUAAAAGUUUUGGGGGUUUUUGAACCGUAGAAUUACAUUGUAGCGACUCUUACACAUUAUUGUUGUGGAUUAUAAUAAUGAUUUUUAUUUUAUUUUUUUCAUCAAACUUAUUAUUUUAUUUUAUUCUAGUAUUAUGUGUUCUUUGUUUUUUCAGUUGAGGUUUUUAUACUUUAUAUUUUCUUAAGAUGUGAAGAUUUUGAUAAAAUUUUAGAAAUUGAAUGCUAGUAAAUUUAAUUAUUUAUGGUUUUAAUUUGAAGCAUUAAGAUACAGUUAACAAACAUAAGAACUAACAUGAGAAACAAAAAACACUAGGGUGCCCUAUCUCAAAUUCAUUUGGAAAAGCUAACUUGGUCGUCCCUAUAUUUUGUUCUAGCUUUUUUUGAGGUCCUUUUAGUUUUGAAAUUUUAGUUUUUGAUAUAAAAAUUUAUUUUAUUUAUAUUUUAGUAUGCGGAUUGAGAAAGAGAGAGAAAGCCAUUGAAAAAUAUUAAAAAAAAGAGAAAGUUAUCAAUUUACCAUGUUUCGACAAUAAAAAAAGUUGUUUUUAAUGUUGGUGAUUUUUAUUUGAUGAGAUGAGUUUUAUAUAUUAAGCUAUUGUUUACUUUUUUUUCUUGCUGGAAAAAGUAAAUCAAGUUUGAAAAAAGCUUUUUUUUCUUUUGAUUUAUUAAGAAAAAUUAAAUUGUUUGGGUUUUUUAAAUAGUGCAUGUGCAUUAUAGCACCUCUCACAAAUCAUCGUGAACUAUAAUAGUGAUUUUUUUCAUUUUGAUUACCAAAUAUUUUUUCUCAUUUCUUCCUUUUAUUUUAUGUUUCUGUGUUUUUUUAAUUGACAGUUUCUAGUUUUUGCAUUUUCUUGAGAUGUAAAGAUUGCAAUAAGGUUUUAGAGUUUGAUUGUUGGUUGAUUGAUUUAAAUAAGUGUCUUUUUUUAAAUUUAUAACAUUAAUUAUGACACAAUUAAAAGACUAAGAACCAGACCAAGAAAAAGAAACUAAGGUGAUUUAUCUCAAUUAUAUGUAGAAAAGUUAUCUUUAAUCCAUAUAUUCUGCAUUGACUUUGUUUUUGGUCUUUUAAUUUUGAAAUAAUUUUUGUUACAAAACUUGAUUUUGUUAUUGGUAGGAAAAAGAUGAGAGAGAAAGUUACUACAUAAGGGAGAAAAGAGAGAAAAUUGUGGUUGACCACAUUUUAUAACUGAAAAAGUCGUUAGGGGUGAGGAAAAAAAACAAAAUAAUUAAUUAAACCGAGAAAAUAAAAAAAAAAUUAAAUCAAGAAAAAAAAUUAAAUUAACUAAUUAAAAAAUCACAAAAUAAUUUUGUUUCAUUUUAGUUUUUAAAGUCUGAACCGACCAAACCAGUUGAAGCAGCACUUGAAAAAAAAAAAAUUCAAAUAAAUUAUGUUUUUCUAAAUCAUUAUCCUCUCAGAUAAAAGUGGCUAGCCCUUUCUCUAUACUCUAUCUGUCUCGCGUCUAUCUCAUAUUCGCAUCCUCCUUCUUCAAACCAAGAUUUAGGCUUGAUUUGGACAUGUGCUCCCAUUCUAGUCCAACUCUAAAUGUUAAACACUGUGUUAGUCUUUCCCAUGAAGGGUCAUACUUGGUGUGCCAUUCAAGUCAAAGUAAUUGGACAUUUUUUUAUAAGCUAUGAGGACCGGUUCCUUUCUCUCCUUACUCUAUAAUCUACAAUCAAUUAGACAACUUGAAUGUUUCAAUUUUUGCGUUUUUAAGUUAAGCCUUUUCUUGCAUGGAAUCUCACCCCUUUCAUUUUAUCAUAUAUGAAAAGUUAUGAAAUUUCUUUGAUCCAACAACGAAGCUUCCAGAUUAAGAUUGAGAAGCAAUAGCAAAAAAUUAGAAUAAUUUUGGUUUGAACCUGUUUCAAAGGAAAAACUAACGAACUAAAUCAAACCAAAUUAAUAUUAAUCAACUUAGACUGGUUUUCAGUUUGGUUUAAAAACUUGAAAAAAAAUUAAUUUUUGAUUGUUUAUUUUAGUUCAAAACUAGACCAAACUCAAAAUGCUUAACUCUGGUUAUUGUGUUAAUGAGUUCUACUUGAUAAGAGUAUUUUUAUUAAGCUGUUUUUACCUUUUAAUUUGUCAAAAAAAAAAAAAUCAAGGUUGAGGAAGAUUUUUUUACAAUUUUGUUUUUGUAUUUUUAGACCAAUUUAGAAGUGUUUUAUAUUAAGGAAUUGAUUUAUUGAGGUUCUAAAAGUAUUUUAUGUGUUAUUUAAUGAAAAUAGGUUGAAAAAUAAUUUUUUGAUUUCAAAUAACACUAACUUUAUUUUCAGUUUACCUCUGCAAUGGUUGUAAUCUUAUCAAGUAAAUAACAUAUUAGUUGUUUAUAUAUAUAUAUAUAUAUUUUUUAAAAAGCACAUGACAUAUGUCAUCCACCCCUUAAACAAAAAAAAAAAAAACCUAGGAGCUCAGCCUGAUGUUAUGCAAGUCCACACAUUUGAUUUUUUUUUCUUGCUUUAAUUAUUUUUCUCCAAUUUAAAUUAAAAUUUAUUAAUAUAAAUUAAUUAAGAUUAUGUUUGGGAUAUUAUUUUGUUGAAUACCAUUAAAUUUCUAGUUUUUUCUUCAAAUAAGAUCAUAACAUUCUUUUAUAAUAUUAGAAGAUGUUCUUUAAUUCAAACUAUAGUGAUUUUUUUCUUAAUUUUUAUUAAAUCACUUUCUUGCAAAUAUUGUUUUUAGUAAUGUAUAAUUAAAUAUAAGAUUCAACUCUUAAUCUAAGUUGUAAAUUUUAUAUAUAUAUAACUUCAGUUAAUUCAACUCAAUUUAAAAUAUUAUUAUCCAAAUAAAUAUUAAAAAAAGGGUGAAAGGAUGGUGUUUUUAAGAAAGUUUUCUUGGUUUUUUUAAAAAAGGUUACACUCAUCAUUUUUUUACGUUAGAAAUAAUUUUUGAUCCAGUUUAUUUAAUAAUUAAAUGUAUGGGUUGUGUACUUGGCAUAGAAAAUUUGAUCUCAGGAUAUUUUUAACAGUAAAACCAAAUAAUAAUGAAGAUAUAUAGUAUUAUUAAUAUUAGGCUGAAGACAUUAAUGAUGCAUCCAUUGAAAUUGGGAUUCCGAAUCCUUCUACCAUUGGGCAGUACCGAUCAAACGGUGGAGGGAAUUCGUAGAUCCCAAUUUUGGUGGACUGAUCACAAUUUUUAGAUUUAACAAAUUUGGUGAAACUCCAAAUUUGGAGGAAUCUAUUCAACUGCACAAAAUAGGAGGAACAUGCGGAUGCACUGCAAUAGCAUUUAGAACCGGGCAUCUUCUUUCAUUCUCAAUAAAGAAAGCACAGAACUUUAAUCAACAUCUCAAGAUUUGCAUACUUGCGAAGGCCCUCGAUCAUGUUCCCACAUGCAAAUUAAAAGGAAAAAAAAAACAAAAAAAAAACCAGCAGGAAUUCUUUCCAUGUCUAGAAUAUCAAAAUCUUCAAAACAAGUAGCCAGGUAAUCUCAAUAUAAAAAUGCGUGCAUACAUCGAAAAUAAUUUUUCAUCAGAACAUUAUUAUGCAUGCAUACGUACCGAGUUCAUCAAUUUAAUUAGCGUCAUAACAGACAUUGGAAAAUAAAUAAAAACUCAAGAUGGAAGGAAGUUCAAGAAAUAAAACAACAUCCUAUUCUAAGAAUUGCACUGCUAAAGAAAAUGAAGAUCAGUUUUGAUCAGUUUUCUGGGACUUUGGUGAUGUUUUGUUUGUUUUGGCAUGUCCGAAUCUCCUUGAUCGAGUGGUAGAAACCCUGUUUGCGUACCGUCACUAUCAGUAUCAAUGUCUCCUUCAAUUGUCAAUCCUUCAAUCCUCGCCGCUAUGGAAUCCAUAUUUCUAACUCCCACAUUUACGUCUGCAGAAAACGUAAAAAGGAAUUAAAAAUCCAUGAGAGACGAAUUCUACGAGAGCAAGAUUCAUCCAAUGAUAUCUUAAGAAGGAACUGAUCAUAUCAAUCAAACUAUAAACCCGUUGGCCAUACAAUUUAAUAAACAGUCAUUUGGAUCAUGUCUGUCAUGCUCUAAACCCUUUCAUUACCUGGAUUGGAAAAGAACCAUAAAACAAGGCCACAAAGAAGCAGCACGAAUGGAAUAACAUGGACAGCAUUUUCUGCAAACUUCGCACGUGACUUCUCCUUCAUCGCCAAUUCCACCAUUGGAUCAUAGGCUGGCAGCUGAUUCAAUUCCAUGGACGAUGACAUUCUCAUCCCUGGAGCUCCCUCAUUGGGCGACGAGUGCAUAUAGUACUGAUCAGCCAUCCUGUGCUUGAAGUAAUCGUCGUCCGCAACCCGGUUCCAGCUUGCUGAUCUAUGCAUUUUUUGUGUUUGUUUGGCAAGAACAAUGACAAUUAAGGACAAAAAAAAAGAACGGAAUGAAGAAGAAGGAGAAAGGAUUAUAUAUAUAUAUAUAUGUGGACAAAAAUGGAAGUGUAUUUUGUAUGAUGGUUCGUUAAUGAAUUCAAGGAAAACGGCUUGGAUUAGGGAGAAUCUGUUUUUUUGGCCGUCCUCUUUUUCUGUGUAAGAGGGUUUGUUAGGUGAAUUAGUCUUUGUUAGUUAUUAUUACAACCUCGUCAUUAAAUACAAGGAAAUGUGUUCAAGGACGGACUUCUUUUUUGAGAAAAAUAUCAAAUUAUCUCAUCAUUUAUUCUUAAGAAAACUAUCCAAACUUGUCAUUACAUCUCAUCUUAAUCUAUCAACUAAUGAAAAUUAAGAGUAGAGAAGGCCAAAGCCCCAACUCUAUAAACCCACUAGACCUGGGUGGGUAAUAACAGACAAACAUGGAGAAAGGGCAGAAGACCAAACCAGCACGGUUGACUCUAAACCAGAAGGACCAAACUGCUAAAAUAAACUAUGAUCACCAAGACCUAAUACAUAAUCCUGACAACAAGCCAAGUAAGAUAGCUAUUUCAUUUGCUACUUUGUUUCAACGCUGGAUAGGUGAAAAAAAGAACACACUGUAGAGAGAGAAGUUGCAUCUAGGCCUUGAUCUUUAGUUUAUCGAUGAAGUUCUUUCCUUCUGCGAUGUCAUUCUUGCAUAGAAAAUCCAGGAAAUCUCUGAAGCUGCUGUCUUUAUAUUUCUUAGGAUGUUGAUCAUCCACAAGCUCCUCUGCAGUCCCCAUUUUCUCAUCCAUACCCAUACUAUGUAGGCUAGCGAUUGAGAUUCUAGUCCUUUCAGAAUUCAGUAUGGCCCUAUGCACAACACUUUUGUACAAGCCAUUGCUUAGUACCUCAAGAUGGUCCCCUAUGUGGACCUGAAGAGCACCAUGAACGUCCGGGAUUAGCUUCCACUUGCCAUCUCUUUUGUCUAUGACUUCAAGGCCAGCCGAGUUCUGGAGGACAAUGCUUAAGCAAGUGUAGUCGGAAUGCGGCGGCAAUCCUAGUGCGAGUUCAGGGUUUGGGCAUGGAGGGUAGCAAUUAACUGCCGUGACUUGCAUUCCAUCCUCCAUCUGGUUGCUCAAGUAACUUGGACCUAGCCCAAGGCUCUCAUUGAUGGCUCCCAUUACCUCCAAGGCUAGUUUCAUCACUUCUUUGCAAUAUUUCCCCAUGUUUUCCCUCAAGUGCAAAAAUGUUGCCUAAGAAGUUAGGACAUUUUAUACUGGGCCAUUUCAUGACAUUUUCAUAAAGGGAUUUUGCAUAUUUAGCAUGUUUAAUUUAUUUAUUUAUUGGGGGGGGUGGGGUGAAGUAUGUCUAAUUCAAAAGAUGCAGGCAUUUGUGAAUACGCGUCACAUAUUGAAUAAGCUUUGUCCUCUACUGAAGGAGAAAUCUAGGAAUUUGUUAAGAAAAGACAAACAGAGAUUCAUGCAAUUGGACCCCGAAUUAAUGAGAUUCAUAAGUUAUAAGCUGCUUUCCAUUUGCAUUGUUUUGCUGAGACAAUUAAUAUAAUUGGCAUAUAGUAAAUUAAAAUGACAACUUGGGAUUAUUGAACUAUGUAUUUAGUCUAGUGGUAUUAAUUUAUUCUUGCAAAAGCAAGGGAGAAAAAUCGGAAAUUGUAAGCAGAACAUUAUGAUUAUUAUUAUUAUACGGAUUGGAUUCAUACAAGGCAUAUGAUCUGGUACCAUACUAAAUCCCAAUAUUAUUAUUGACCGUGCGUGAUUGAUUUGAUCUACGUACUCAAGUAAAAAAGUGUCUGUUGCUUGCAUAUUAAAUAUCAAGUCUUGCCUUUAUGGCCUUGAGAAUGAGAAGAAAAAAACAACUUAAGAUAAAAAUAACUACCUGUAAUGAGGUGGAUUUUUUGGCCAUAGAUGAAUCCAGUCAGAUAAAGGAUGUGCAUAAUGCUUGAGGAAAACCCUCCAAAACUGGAAUUUCUCAUCUCCAUCUUUGAGGCUCGUCCCGUACCUUACUGGUUUCUUUACAUCAUUAGACAUGAACUUCACCUUCUCUUCGGUAGGUAAUUUGAAAAAAUCCGACGCCACAGAAAGUGCUCCAUCCAAUAUUGAUUGGCAAAUUCCAUGAUUGACAAUCUGUGUGUGAUCAAUAUGGAAGCAGAAAAUAAAGUAAAAAAUUAAUGCUGUCGAGUUCCAUAAAUUUAUGCUGUACGCUUGUUACGCUAGUCCAAGCAAUAGAGAUCGAUAUAUAUCCCAUUACUUGUACAUGUUGAACAGCCAUUAUAUAUAACUUGAAAAAGCUUGUGUAAAAUAUUGCGAUACUUACUUGAAAGAAUCCCACUUGGUGACAAGCAUUUCCAAUUUCUUUAAUGGCAUUAGCCCUCUGUGUAGCAUCCUGCCUCAACCUAGAAAAAUCAAUAACGGGCACACUGGCAAAAUCUGGAGUCAAACUCGGACGAUUUGAAGAUGGAAUUACAUAACAAUCUGGCACGUAUGACCAACUUCUCUCUUGCGCACUGUUGCCAAUUGUAAACGAACUUGAGCUAUCCUUUUUUUCCAUCUCAAAACCUCAACCAAAAAAUGCCUCAAAAAAGGCUCAAAAUAGUACCAAAAUAUGAGUAGAACGAUAAGCAGGUAAAAUAAAAAUUUGACGGUUUGGUAGAGUAUCCAAGAGUGGGGUUUAUAACAGAGAGUUUUGAGUGUCAAAAGUAAGUUUAUGUUAGUUCUUUGGACAAGCAGACCAGUUUCAAGAGUAAAAGCUGCAACGUUUUCCUGCUAUUCUGAUGUAGAGAUUAUGUCAAAACUGGGGAAAACCAUCUGUUCUCUCUAUCCCAUCCAGCGAUUGAUAAAAGCUAGAAAACAAAAUGAACUUUUUGCAGGAAAGUCAUGGGAAGCUGUGGAUUUAUGUAGCCAGUAGAUUGAAUUGAUGAACUUAAUUGGCAUGCAAUUAACGCACCUUUAAAACCAACUAGGCUAAAGGGGGUCUCUCUGUUGACCAUGUGUUAAGCCACAAGCCCACUUGGUUUGUCGCCUCCUCAAAACUGCUGGUAUUGAGGCCCGUUGUUUUUCAGAUGAGGAUAGAGCAUCCUAAUUAUGACCACCUUGAUUCAAUCACAAUUCACACACAUGCAAAGGCCUUGUUUAAUAUACAUAUCUUUCUUGCAAGCAGCCAGGCCCUAGCUAGCUCUAUGGCUGCUCUGGAUACCCAGGAAAACUUUGUUCUGAGCCAACAAAUUUUGAAAGACACCAUCCAUUUUUGCCUACAUCAUAUCAUGAAAAAGACUAUAGUACUUAAAAAGCAUUAAUCGCAUCCAGUGAGCAAUUCAUGUACUUUUCCUGGAGACUGAUAAAUUCUAUCAGCAUGUGUGUAUAUGACUGAUGUCCAGAAUUGACCCACUGCAUGUUGUCUUCAGACGGAUUUAUAUAUUUCGUUUUGAUUAUUUCCUCCAUAUUCUUGAAAAUAGGGGUUAGACCGGUAUGCGUACAGUACUGUGCAUGAAUGCACGCAAGAACGUGCAUCUAAACCAUUCGGAUGUGUUGAAAAGCUGCCGCCUUUAACUUUCAUGUAAUUUCUUUUGGCUUUGUAACGUCGGUCCAACGGUUUAUAGAUUAUAAACAAAGCUCAAUGGCAUUGGGCUUUACUGUUUAUCCUUUACCAUUUAUCAAGACACAAAUUAUCAUGGAUUGGAGCAGUACAAUAAUAUAAUUGGUGUUGGGUCAACAAACUCACGUGUUUGAGUCUACAUCACACAUUAUUGUUAUUAAUAUUAAUAUUAUUAUUAUUAUUAUUAUUAAUUUUUUUAAAAAAUGUUAUUAUUAUUGAAGAGAAAUCAUAAAUUUAUUUGAAAAUUAAAAUUACAAAUUACAAAAACUUAGAUCAAAUAUAUUUAAUAUUAUUAUUGAUAUAGAGAAGCCAAAUCCGAGUAACUUGGAUCUAUCAUGCAUGCUUUCAGACUCAAAAGAUUAUGGUUAAAAAAUGAUCGUCAGACCCAACUAUCUUAGGCCUGGCAUGAUUCUUAAAACUAAAUUUUUUAAAAAAAUAUUUUUAAAAAAUAUAAUUUUUAUAUAUAUAUAUUUUAAAAAAAUUAAUAUUCAAGCUAAUACAUUAAUAUAUUAUCAUGUGGGAAUGGUUUGGUGCAUAGUAGCCAUUCCCUGAAAUAAUGCAAAUUUUAAAUCCUAAUCAGCUCCCAUCUCCUGUUCUACAAGCAAUCAUUCCAAUGUGUUAUUUGAUUUGCUAUAAGUGGACAUGGAAAUCAGUAAAAUUGCUCAAGUCAAAAACUAAGAAUUAAUUUGGAGUUGGAAGGGGGUUCAACUUCCUCAUAGCAGGCGAACCUUUUCUUCUCACCCACCUCACCAACUAUAAUAAAAUGAAUAGAACUUCCGACACACUAGAGGACGAUGGUUCGACCACCCACUUCGACUGAUAAACUAUACUGUCCACAUCUUGCUCCAAUCCAUCCACAACGUGACAAAAAUGUUAAAUUAGUGGAUGUUAUGGAGGUUAAACUACACAUGUAGUCCCUCAAUUCUUACAUUUCAGUCAUUUUAGCCCCACCACUACGAAUUUCAGCUCAGCAACCCUUAUAUAUACUUUCCAUUUGUGUUUUUUCAUGUCCUCAUUUUCACUUAUAAGUAUAUCUGUGGAAAUACAUGACAUCCAUAUAAUGACCAUAAUUUGUAUGAAGGACAGAAACAGCAAUGAAUUGAAAGUAUAAGGGUUACUGUGCCCAAAACUUUAUUAAAGGGAUUAAGAUGACCAAAAUAAAAAACUUGGAGGACCACCUAAAAAAGUAAUUUACCCUGUUUUUGAUAGGUGGAGACCGCACCACAAUUUCAAUCAAGCUUGAGCACGCAAUCCCAAUAUUCACUUUGGACCGAUGCUUUAAUAUGAUUUAGAUGAAGGAAAAUGCUCCUUUCAUGAUGAAUUGAUGUUCGAAACAAGAAUGUCUCGAAUCCCUUCUCGAUUUUUCAAACAAACCAUGUUGUUUAAAAUAAACUCAAUGAUAAAAAAAACACGAAACAAACACAAGUAUCGCAAACUUGAAGUUAGGUCAUCUAAUCUUAAUCAACCUUCACACAUAUAUAUACAAGCUGUGCCUAAUCAUCUUCUUCUCGUGUUUGCCAUCACUAUUCACAUAGCAAUGGCUAAGCUGGUUUUGGUCUAUUCUCUGGUUGUUCUUGGCCUUGCAAUAACAUGCAAUGCAGCAACUUACAUGGUAGGUGAUAACUCUGGCUGGGACAUAAGUACUGACCUUGAUACAUGGGCACAGGGCAAGAAAUUUGUCGUUGGCGAUCUUCUAUGUAAGUACUUUUACGUUAUGGUCAUAAUUUAAUGUUUCAAUCACUAGAAAAAAAAACAUUUUGAAUGGCAACAGGACUGAUCUCUCUCUCUCUCUCUCUCUCUCUCCUUUUCUCUGUCAAUCGUUGUAGUGUUUCAAUACUCGUCAUCCCACAGUCUUGAGGAGGUGAAGAAAGAAGAUUUCGACAGCUGCAACACCACUAAUGCUGCAAGAAAAUUCACAAAUGGGAACACAACCGUGCCUUUGACAGAACCUGGGACGAGUUACUUUGUUUGUGGUAACCAGUUACAUUGUCUAGGAGGAAUGAAGCUUCAGGUAAAUGUAGAAGACAACCACGCAAAUCCACCGAUUGGGGCGCCACAAGCACAGCCAGCAGGGGGUGCUCUUACAAAACCUUCUUCUAAGAGCAACAAUCCUGCCUCAGCUAUUCCAACUUCAGCAGGGUCUGUCUAUGGGGGAAGUGAUUGUAUUGUGAUGACUUUUCUUGGUUUUGUGGCUACUAUGUUCUGGGUGGUGCAAGUUUGAUUAGUAAAUGUUUGUAAUAUUGUUUAUUUAUUUAUUUUUCAUGUAUGGUGAGGUUGAUCUUAUUUUUUAAUUUAUUGUUCUUAUAAUUUUCUGAUACAAUGAAAAAAAAUCUCAAGCUUGUUUGCUGUAUACCAGUUGUACAACACCAAUUGUAUAUCACAAGAAUUCAGCGCUUAUUUAAUUAGCCGAGUUUAAGGAGACCAUGUUAGCUAAAUUUUUUGGAGAUUAGCUAGCAAUUUCAAUACAAUAUCAGAAGUUCAAACUUAAUCAUAUACGAGCAAAGUUUUAGGAGAUUAGAAAAGUUUAGGACUCCUUGUAUAUGUUUUCACACAUGCAUUACAGAGUGGAUAAGCAAUUCUCUAUCAAAAUGACCCUCGGAAAUUUUCAACAAUUGGUUUCAGAGAGAUCAACAAGCUCUUCUUCAUGCUUUUGGUUCGGGUUCCAGUGCUAGACAAGUGCAAAUCCACCUAGCUCUGAAUUAGCAGCAGCUGGAACUCCUCUUGGUAAGGCUGAAUUUAAUGCAAAUAUAUUCAGAUUACUUCCCACUGAAUAUCAUCCCAUUAUUGCUGAUGUCUCUGCAAGAAACGAUCACCUCUCUUUCCAUGAGCUGUAAGGGAAGUUAAUUGCGCUUGAAAUAUUACUUCAGAGUUCCAGACGCUUGAUCACUGCUACUGUCAACACGACAAGUCACUAAACCUUUCAUUAUAUCAAUAAUGGUAACAAUAAGUGGAAUAACAACUCCUCUAAUCAGCGGCAAGGACAGAGGAACAGGAGGUUCUUUAAAACACAACUUCAAAAAUGUGGUUUGCGAAACCACUCUGCAAAGUGGUGUCGACAUCUUUAUGAGAAGAGCACUGGCACACCAACUACAAAUAUGACUGUCAAACAGUCCAGCAAGCCUUUCAGACAGGUUCCCAGACACUGCUACAUCUCACCGCAUGGCUCCAGACUUGGCUACCCUGAAAAUUUCUGAAGAGUACAAAGGUAAAGACAAGAUUAUAGUUGGUAAUGGAAAUGGCUUAAUUAUCAAUUAAACAUGUUGGACAGGCUAGCUUAAAUUCCAAUUCUCAGAAGUUCAAACUUAAUCAUAUUCUACACGUCCCUCGUAUGCAAAUACAGUCACUAUCUGUCAAUAAAUUUACAAAAGAUUGUUUCUUUCAAAUAUUCCAUUCUAACCAUUUUGUUGUGAAGGACGAGAAACAGAGAAACCUUGGCGAGAAACACAGAAACCUUUGCUCCGAGGACCGACUGAAGAUGGACUAUACAGACUUCCUGGGGUUGCCUUGCAGUCACUAUGCCAAGGAGCACAAGCAUUCAUUAGUGAAAAAGUCAGCGUGGAGGAUUGGCAUGCACACUUGGGACAUCUUCAUCAUCCUUUUGUGGUUUCAGUUAUUAAUAAUUUUCAAUUACCUGUUCUUCCCCUUCAAUAAAAGUACUUGAACCAAGAUGUUCUUCUUGUUACUUAUGGAAGUUAACUGGAGUACGCAAUAAAAAGAAUUGAAGACAAAAAAAAAAAUACUAAAGUAAAUGUCAUAUAGUAUAUGUUAUAAUAAUAAUAAUUGUAUUUGUCAGAGAUGGGUUAAUCGGGGGGCUAGUUGGAGGAGGAUACAUAUCCUCUCUUGAAAGAAGAAGAGGCAGCUGGAGGCCUGUUGUUGACAAUCGUCAAGAUAUACAUGUACUUGAGGUGUGGGCAUGUCUUUGACAGGGCUAAUUCCACCCCACCUUCGACAUAAAUGACUCCUCCCUUACAAUCUUAAAUGGGCCCUUUCUCUCUGAGAUCUAAACUGAACAGUCACAACACCAUGAAACCGGAAAUGUUGACCUUUUUCUGUCAUGAAGAUCGACGGCCACUACCGUCCAAAGACGGGAUCCAGAGGCCUCGAGUUUGGCAGAAUGAACAAUGCUGUUCCACUAAUGUUGACAGGGCUUCGACACCAUUGUUGAAUGUCAAACUAAAUAAUUGCUGCCAUGGUUUGGAAAAUUUGCCUCCAUCCGUAGUGUUUGUCAAUGACCCUGUACGUCGAAUCCAGUCAGAAAUUAAAGAGGCGGCGAGUGUGGCAAAAUGGUGAUGAUUGCAGUAACCUGGUUCUGAGUUAUUCUAUAAAAAUAAUUUUUUUAAAAAAAAAAAAAAAAUAAAAGUGGCAAUGUAGAGAAAGUAGGUCGAGGAAUCAAGCUGUAAUUUUUUAAGGAAAUUAAAGACCUAAUUCUACCCUAUUUUACUCAAAAAUAGAGAAAAAAUACACAUUCAAUGUCAAAUUAAACUAGACAGAUUUGCAUAAAAAUUAAGUCCAAUGACAUAAUUAAAUUUUUAACAGGCCAAUUUGAUUUAAUCAUAGCUAAAUUGAAUUUUUAAUUAUGUUUAAGAAUUAAUUUGGGUCCAAUUAAAGGAUUUAAUUAAGUGCAAGCACUUAAUUAUACUUUAAAUGGAUCAAAUUAAUUUUUUUUUGGGCUUAAUUGGUGAAAACUUAAGUUUGGAAGCUUAAUUUGGGUUUAAUUAAGAAUAUUGGAAUUUUAAGAGACCAAAUUUAAUUUUUACCAAGUUAAUUGAUUGAAAUCAGGGGCAAAAUUGCAAGAAAAAUGAAGUUUUGGGAUCAAUUAGAGGCUAAAUUGAAGAAAUUCGAGCCAAGGACCAAUAUGCAUAAAACACUAAAAUUGAGGAGCUUAAUUUACAAAAAUCUGGGGGUGAAAUUGAAGAAAUUAAAAGUUUAAUGGUCAAUUAGGGAUUAAAUUGACAAAAUCCGAGACCAAGGACCGUAUUGUAAAAGGCGCGUAAAUAUGGAGCUGCAAUUGAAGUUCAUUAGGGGUUUAAUUGCAUUAAAUCGAAAGUUUUAGGUCAAUUAGAGGUUCCAUUGAAAGAAAUUAAAAGAUCAGGAGCUAAAUUAAAAAUGAGUAAAAAUCCCUAAUUCAAUCCAAAACGGCGCCAUUUUACAUAAAAAAAAAAAAGAGGACCAGACGAUGUGUCGUCUGGUCACUGUUUAUUGUCUUCUUCUUUUACCCGGUUUAAAGCUGGUUCGGUCGCCUACUUUUCAAGUGCAUUUAAUGCACCAAACGUCCACCAAAUUUAACCAAACUUGCACGAAAAUGAUCCCCUGCAGUAGUUUCUUUACAAUGCCAACUGAAAAGUUCGGUCUGAAUGGAAACGUGACAGCGCCGGUGCCGGUCUAAACAAUCCAACUCGGGCAGUUUUUUUUCUGCAGAUUAAACAACUCAUGAGGCACAUUUUGAGCCAACAGUUGAGAUCCUUCCCAACUGAAUCAAUGGCUGAAAUUUUACCCCGGGUAGACAAGAUUACCCUCUUCCACUGCCUAUAAGUAAAGGCUUCGUUGAUCAUCUGAGAGAGGAGAGAAUUGGGUUCAAAAUUGGCCAAAAACCAACCUUUUCGCCCCAUUUCUGCAGUUUCCUUUUCUUCCUUCUCUCUCCACCGUGUCCUCAGCCGUUAAAGACUCCACAAAAGCCUUUCUCCUCCACCAACAGACGACGUCCCAGCCUCUCCAAGAACCCAAAUCCUCAUCAGCUGUAUAAUAAGCACCAUGAAUGUCUCUCUCUGCAGCUUCUCCCAUUUUCUUCUUCUUCUUUCUUCAUGCGCUGCCACCCGUCACCAGCUCCACCGUUAAAACCACCGGCAGCACACCUUUAACCUUGGCUAAAACAUCCAGUGCUAGGUCGUCCGCCCUCUCUCCCCUUCCCCUUCUCUUCUUCGUGUCUCUGUUCAUUGAGUGAACAGUGGACGUGAAUUAUAAUUCACGUCCACUGUUCAUGCAGUGGACUGUAUCUUUUUAAAAAAAAAAUUCCAAAAUUUUUCAAAAAAAUAAUUUAAAAAACUUGUGAUUUUCUCAAAUAUUUUCAACCAUUUUUGCAUAAUAUCGGGUUGUAUAUUUACACUGUAAAAUAUAAAUCCGGUAUUAAAAUACCUGGUUUUCUCCAAAAUAUUUUUAAAAAAAUCUAAAAAAUGUUUAAACAAAAUUUCCGUUAAAAAGUUUAUUUUCAUACAUACGGUCAAAUCUUAAAAUUUUUCCAAGCAUAUUUUUCAUAAAAAAAAAUUGUAUAUUUUUCAUGAUUUAAAAAAAUCCAAAAAUGGAUAUCGUAACUAGUUUAUGAUUAUCCAUUAGGAUUUGGCCAACAUGUCAAAAAUCUUUUUCUAAUCUUUUUUUUUCAGAUCCUGAUGUAGACUUUAAUAUUUAUGAGGUGUAGAAUUACACGAUAAAGUACACCCUUGAGUAUUAAAGAGACAAGAUGUAAAUAAAUGCGAUGCUAAUAUUCAAACUUUAGAACGGUUAGGAUUUAACCUGAUAAAGUAGAGACUCUCUCAUGAAGAGAGAUCUGCCUUGAACCUUAGAAAAGACCAACAAAAAAACAAUCAAAUAACAAUGCAGCUUACCUUAAGUAGGGUGCAUUGGGGAUGAUGCGUCUUCCCCUUGCACAGCCAGUCCCUUACUCAGACUCUCGCAGACCAUAGGUUCCUAGGGACCAUAAUACUAGGUGGCAACUUCUAAAUAUUAAUCAUAAUUUUAUGAUUAAAUCCAAAACCAUUUCCAGCACACAACACACCUCGCCACAUGAGGCACGACAAGAAGCCUCUGCCGUCGCCAGACGAUGUCACGACCCCCGCGAUAAUGAUUGUGAGACGGUGGUAAAUGAGGAAAUGAUGGUGGCGAGGUGGGACUCGUCAUGGAGGAGGUGGUGAAGGAAAAAAAGACGGUGAUAUAGUGAUUAUGGCAAAGAAGUUGGUAGUGAGAUGACAGUAAAUAAUUGUUAUAGAAGAGAUUGGAGUAAUGUGAUAAUGGUUAUAAGAUGAAGAUGAUGGUUAAAAUGGUUAGAUGAUAAUGUAAUUAGAUUAUUUUUUGUAAAAUAUUUUAUAAAAUUUUAUGAAUUGAUAAUAUUUUUCAGUAAAUAAAUUAAAUUUAAAAAUUGAUUGUAAAAUUAUAUUUAUAUUUUACUAUUUUUUGUAAAUUAUUUUAUGAUAAACUACAAGAAAAUAUUUUACACGAUAUCCUUGGAAACAUCUCUAACAGGGGAAGAAAAAUGAUUUAUCCUAUUAAAAUAUGUUAGCACCAAAUUAAUCAUGUUUUAAACGCAACCUAAAUCAAUAAAUGAUUGAACUGACCGAUCAAUAACCUAAGAAUAGACAAAGUAAGCAAGAGGUUAACCAUCUCAAUUAAAUUAAGUGAGGGUGCAUCUCUUUAUUUUAUCUGGUCAAAGAUUACAUUAACUGGCUUUAAUUAAAAUGUUUAAUUUGUUUUGUUAUUUUUUCCAAUUCUUCAAUUUCUCUAUAACUAGAGGGUGAGGACGGUUCAUUGUGGAAUCUUAUUACGACCUUAGUGCCAAAUAUUUAUUUCAAAGAAACUUUGUUUAUUCUCCGUACAUUUUCCUCGAUAUUUUAUUUUAUUCAUCCUGAUAAUAAUGCUUCUGCAAAACUUUCUCGAAGAACACAUCAUCGGUGAUGGUAUAGGACGACCAAGAAUUUAAUGGAAAGCGAUUUUAUAAUUAUAGUCCUGAAAUAUAUUUUUGGAAAACAUUAAAUAAUCCCACGACUUUGACUUUGUUAAAAGAAAAUAAUUCUUGACCUUUUCCUCUUUGCUCUUGUUAAUUAGAAAGUUUCACAUGCAUGUAUGUGAUAAUGGGAAUCCUAGGUGAUAUCCAUGGAUGCGAUGGAUUUUGCUCACAUGUAAGAGUGGAUUUUUGCCCAGAUUUCCCCAAAUUAAGGCCAAUAUUAGUCUUGCAGUACCCUAUGAACAAUAUUGUACAUCUUUCCAAUGUACUUCUCUUAAGAAAAGCAAUAAAUAUCCGUGCCUAUAUAUGCUGGAUGCUUUAAGUCAAAUAUAUAUUUUGAUAAUUUUAGUUUCUCUUACUAUAUGUUAAUUAAUAAAUCAAAUUACUUGGGCCCUCAGUUGUAAGAACUCAUGCUCAUUCAAUUCAAACAUCUCUCUCAUUUUCAGGAGAAUUGCAUGUAACCUUCUGUACCGAAACCUGCUCCCAUUUCAAGCUCUUUCAAACAUAUCUGUUUGAAGUGGGAUUAUAAUUGUUUAUAAAAAUGUUUUUUAUUUGAAAAAUAUAUUAAAAUAUAUUUUUUUAAAAAUUAUUUUUAAUAUUAACAUAUCAAAAUAAUUUUAAAACAUUAAUAAGAUAUUAAUUUAAAAUAUAAAAAAUAUUUUUAAAAUAUAAAAACAUAGAUGGAGGUAAACUAAAAAGUUAGUUGGUUAGUUCUCUUGCCACGUGUAUGUUUUUGUUCCCACAAGAAAGACCCAUCAACGUUCUCACUCAAAAUUAACUUUCUUUCCCAGCCAAUUAAAAUACUGCCGUACAAAAUCGAGCAAAACCCUUGGAGGUCAUAAAAUUCAAUAUGAAUCUUGGACAUGUAUGCGUAGUUUCGUACUGUUGAAAGGAAUUGUGCUGUCUCUGUUUAACUCGUCAGGCUGUUCAUAUCAGGUACGUACAGGUGGACUAGAAAGAGCGUGGCCCCUCCCUCCAUCCUUGGGAGGAGAAACUCCAGUUAUCCGGCCGUCGCUCAAUAUUCCAUCUAUUUUUUCCUUACCUUAACUUCUCCACCCUCGACAUAACCAAUAGAUACACAUAAAACGAAUACUUGUAGAAAAUCGUUGCCGAUGAAGAUUAAAAAUAUCGCACAACACUUUGAAAUAAUUGUCACAAUACAGGCACGCCACAGAAACCAUAUUUUAAUUAGUGGGGCCAAAAGGCAUGUUGGUAGAAGACGGCUUCUUGUUUAUUUUUCUAACCGGUUAAGUUUUGGUUUUUUAAAUAAAAGCAUUUUAGAAGCCAUCAAGGAAUUGCUAAAGUUUUUUUUUUUUUGCAUCAAUAUAUAAUUAGACAAGAUUCCGUGAGUGAAGGAAACUCCCCAACCUAUCAUUUGCCAUGCCCAUGGUCCAGUUUCUUGUCCUUUAGUGAAUGCACAUCACAGGGAAAAUAUUAAAUGUGUAACCAAACAAAUUAAAAGGGAUGAAAAUGGAAACAUGCCAGAUCAAGUUGUGCUUCAAGCAGCCAAAAACGUGAAAGAAUCAAGCUAAACUUAUGCUACUAACAUUUUUUAAUGUUUCCUUUGUAAGAAGUUCUGAUUAUUGAGGCUGCCGACGAGCCCUAUGUUUUUGAAUGGAAUAUGAUAUAAAAAUAUAUUGGGUUACUUUUGAAGUCACAGACUUGAAAAUUUUAUCAUCAACCAUGUGCAUGUGGAUUAAUAUAUAGGUUUAACUAGUUUUUUUCAGGGCAUAUAUAAUUAUUUGAAAUUUGUACUAAACUUAGUUUAAGGAUUAAGUUUUGAAAUAUUUUGAUUUGACUUUUUGUAUAAUUUAAAUUUGAUAUUAACCAGGACAAGAGUUGUUUUAUUAUGAUCCGGUCAAUUUGAUUGGUUUAAAGAUAACCCUAUUAACCGGUAAAAAAAAUUUAAAGAUAAAAUAAGGGAAAAAAUAAAAAGAGAUUGGCAUAAAAAAAAACCUUCUGAAUCAACUUCUUACCUAACUCAGAUUAAAAUUAAAUCAUGUAAGAGUUAUUCUAACAUGAUAUAGUCGACUUGAAAUUGAAGUCUAACGAUUUAAUUGAUUUAGCUGGCCCAAAAUCAACCCUAAUGAUUGUUAUAAAAAUCUAAUAAUAUAUGAAAUUGAAAAUAAAAUAAUGAGAUUAAAAUGUAAAAAAAAAACCAAGAGAAAUGGAAAAAAAAUGAAAGGGAUGAAUUGAAAAUUAAAAAAAAAGAAAAAAAAAAUGAGUUUCACUAUUUACAUGAAUAAUGAAACUCCGUAAAAAUUCUCAUUCUUAGUUGUUGUUGUUUAGUCCAGAAAAAAUCAGUGAAGAUAAUUUUUUCUUUCAAACAUGUUGGUAAAAACUAGAUCAAGACAUAUAAGUUUUUUAUAUUCAUUUUGAUUUUAAAAUUUAAACAAAUUAUAAGGUAUUAUAGAGUUAAUUUGGGCUUAUUAAUACUUUUAAAAUGUUUUAAGAAUAAGUUGAAAUUUAAGUUUUGUAAGAUCCCGAAUCCAAUAAUGUACUUCACAAAAAAAAAAAAAAACUUCAAAGAUAAAUAAAAGAAAGCAUAUAAAACAAAAGGAUAGUCAUGGUGCAUUUAUCUUUUAUUUUUUCUUAUAUGAACAAUUUUUCAUUUUAGUUUUUAAUUAGCAUUCAAUACUCAAUUUUAUGAUUAAUCAAUUUAUAUACUUUUUAAUUUAUUUUAUUAAAUGUAGAUAUCUUUUUUUAUAUUCUUCAAUUAUAAAAUAUUACGAUAACAUUCAUAGUUAAUGACAAACGUUGUCUUCUUCUCUUGAAUCAAAGAUUAAUUUGGAAUCCUAAUGGCACCAAUAUAUCGCUAUAUAUAUUUCAUCCCCUAUUAUAUAAUAGAUACACACAAACCAACAAAGUGUAUAUAAUUAUUUAUUGAGAUAAACCUUGUAUUUCAUAAAAUCUGAUGAUAUAUGAAAUUAAAAAAAAAAGAAACAGGAGAAAUGGAAAAAAAGGGGGGAUGAUUUUUUUUUAAAAAAAGCUUUAUUAUUUAUACAAACAAUGAAACUAUAUAAAAAUUCUCAAAAUUGUCGGUUGUUUUAGUAUAGAAGAAAAUCGGUAAAGAAUCUUAUCAUUUACAUUGACUCGUGGAAUGAGAGCACUCUAUAAUAUUAUACAAUAAAUUGAUAGGUUUUAAAAUUGUUCACUCCUCACGUUCCAUUAAAAUUUAAGUUUGGGUAUAAAUUGAGAUUUGAGUACUUUUUUGAGAUCUCAAAUUAAAUAACGCACUUAACAACUAAAAUUAACUUCAAAGAUAAAUAAAAGAAUGCGUAUAAAACACAAAAGAGAUAGUCAUGAUAAAAUAUGAUGAUUAUGUGCAUCUAUCUUUCUUUUUUUUUUUCUUUCUUUUUUUUUCCUUAUAAGAAAGAUUAAUUUUUUAUUUUAAUUUUUAAUUAGCAUUCAAUACUCAUUUUAUGAUUUAUCAAUUUAUAUACAUUUCAAUAUCUUUUUUUUAUUCUUCAAUUUUAAAAUUUGACGAUGACAUUCAUAAUGAUAACAUGAUGACGAUGUCUUCUUCUCUUGAAUCAAAGAUUAAUUUGGAAUCCUAAUGGCCAUGUGGCUAGGGGCAGAACUAGAAUUAUUUGUUAGAGAGGAUCAAAAUUAAUAUAACAAGAUAUAAUAUUUAUUUUAAUUUAUUGUAUAUGAGUUGUAAAACAAAACCUACAUAAUUUAGUUUUAUUCAAAUAACUUAUUACAAACAUAUAAUGAUAUUUGUAUAAGGUAAAAAGUUUGGAGCAAUACCAAAUUGAGUCAAAGCAAUGAAGUUAAUUUCAUCUUUAUAAUGUAUCUAUCACUUUAAUGUUAUUGGUCUUUAUACCUAUCAAAUAUAAACAUACAAAGUAUAUAAAAACAUUAACUAAAGCGAAGCAUUAUUUAUGUUUGAUAAACUUUGAAAUAAAGCAAAAAAAUAAUAAAAAAUGAUUCAUACAUAUUUAUUUUAAUUGUGCUCGUUGUUUUUUCAUAGAAUAGAAAUCAUCGAUUAUCAUAUCAAUUAUGAAUCUUUCAACAAUUUUUUUUUAUAUAGACAAUCAAAUAAUUUGCAAGAAAAUCAUCCUCCAUCUGAUUACAAAGUCUUGUUUUAACAAUCUUCAUCGUUGAAAAAGCUCGUUCAAUAGGUUGUGAGUUAUCAAUUUUUUUUUCUUAAAAAAAAAUCAAUUCUUCUUAUUUUGUUCAUGGUUCAAUCUAAAAUCAAAACAUAUAUAGUAAGAAAAAAUUGAUAAUUUUGGUGGCUCUGCUAAAAAAAAACAUAAAAAUACCAAGCAUAAUAAAAACAAACCAAUAAAAUAUAUCUAAUUAAUUAGAAAAAAAUCACUAUAACAAGAAUUCAAAAAAUAAUUGAUAGAACUAGCAAAUCUGAGGGAAAAAAAAGGAGCAAAAAUAGUAGAAUUAUAUAUAAAAAAAACUCAUCAAAUUAUUAACAAACAUCUCAAACAAAACAAAAAUAGAUUUUAAAUUUAAAUUACCUUGUUUUGUUUGAUAAAAGAUAAAUUAAUUAGUGACUCUGUUUUAAUUUUUUUAUAAAAAUUUUUUACUCUGAUUGUGUUUUUAUUUAUAUUUUUGAUUGCUGCAUGAUUUAUAUUAGGACAAAUUAAGUGUUUUAUUUUUUGUUUUAUAAAAUAAUAUUUUUAUAUUAUUUUUUCCAUGUAAGGUAAGAAUAAAUUCAAAGAAAAUCAAAAGUAAAGUUAAGUCCCACCUCUUUAAAAUAAAAUAUAUAACUUCUUCUCUGCUUGCCUCCUCUGCUUCCGCCCCUGCAAGUGGCUAUACACUCACCAAUAUAUCGCUAUAUAUAUUUCUUCCUCUGUGUGUGUGUAAUAGAUUGUACACCCAAACCAACAAAGUUUAUAUAAUUAUUUAUUGAGAUAAACCUUGUAUUUCAUAAAUGAUCUCCGAUGUAAUAUUUUUGUUAGUUAUUUUCAGAGAAAAGUAAACAGACGCGCUUAAUUAAUUAUCACAUUCAUUAAGGGGUGAUGUAAUUAAUAAUUAACGGAUUUUGAAUUUAAAAUUUUUAAUGUAAUCACGAUUGUUAAUAAUUUAAAAAUUUUCUUUAUCAUUUAUCAUGUAGGGUUAAUCUCAUAAUUAAAUGUUUUGGCGUCUAAAAACCGAAUGGAAAGAAACUUGAUUAAUUUAAUACAAGAAAGUUGAUGUUUAAGCGAUUAAUUAACUUUACUUGUUACACUCGUUACCAUUCCGAUAUCUAUAAACAGAUUGAUGUGUAAAACGAAAGCCCAUUUUGUCAAACAACCCCUUCUCGUUUGCACAGAUUUUUCAAAACGAUCACAUCAAGAUGUGUUCGUCGUCCUUUCUCUAAUUUAAAAAUCCGUAUAUGGAGACAAAAGAAUUAAAUUAUGUUGAAAAAAAAUUCAAAAUCAUAAAUAUUAAAUAAUUGCAUUCUUUAGCUGUCAAAGCCAAGGACUCUGACCAAAUCCUCUCCUCAAAGUGUAUAAGAAGGUUACAGCACAAGCAUCAUCAAAUACUGAAGUAAACAUUGAGAAGAAGGGAAAUGGAGCUGGAUAGGUUGAGUACUAGUUCAAAAGACUUUGAAGAAGAUGAUGACAUCCUGCUCCCAGGGUUUCGAUUCCAUCCAACCGACGAAGAACUUGUAGGAUUUUAUCUUAAAAAGAAAGUACAGAAGAAGCCUAUCAGGAUUGACCUCAUCAAACACGUUGAUGUCUACAAAUAUGAGCCAUGGGAUCUUCCAAGUAUGCAUGCUCUUGCACUAUUGCUCCUUUGUUCAUCGAUUCAAAUAUGUUAUAAUGUUAAUAUAUGUAGUUAAUUAUAACUAUGUGCAUGAAAUACAAAAAUGUUAUCUAAACACCUUCAAAGUAAUUAGUAGAGCUAUAAUUUGCUUUUUUUUUCAGAGAUUUUCAUACAAUCUACUAUAUAAAACUAGGACGAAUUAUAAGGGAAAAAAAUUCUUUAAUUAAGUUGUUCUUAACUCUCUCAGGUUUACCAUACCAUUCUGUGCAGGUGUUGCAGAAGACAAGAAAUUCAUGUCACUAAACUGCAAGAAAAUUUCCUUUAUCAAUUUUAUUUAUUGUCUUUUUUUUUGGUACAGAAGAAGCAAGUUGUAGUGCUGGAGAAAGGGAGUGGUACUUCUUCUGUAGAAGAGGAAGAAAGUACAAGAACAGCAUCAGACCUAAUAGGGUCACAAGAUCUGGCUUUUGGAAAGCUACAGGCAUAGACAAGCCAAUAUAUUCUGUUGGGAAAAGCCAUUACUGCAUUGGUCUGAAAAAAUCUUUAGUUUAUUACCGAGGAAGUGCUGGAAAAGGCACGAAAACAGACUGGAUGAUGCACGAAUUUCGCCUUCCUGCUUGUGAAAAUACUGCUAGCCUCACCAAUCCCGACGACUGUGAUGUUCACGAAGCUGUAAGAUUCGUCCAUUCUUGUAUUUUCUUUUCUUUUUUUUUACUGAAAACUUGGGAUGCUGAGUCCAUUCGGUUUUUGAUAGUUUUUAUUUCUGUUUUUUUUAAUGUUACAGGAAGUUUGGACACUUUGUCGAAUAUUCCAGAGAGAAGCUCCCUUCAACAAAAAAUACCUCUCUUCAAAACAACGGUGUGUUAGCACUGAUUCAAGUGCUAGCCCUUGUGAAUCAGACAAUCGUAGACAUAACGAUCAAAGCUUCGAAGUUUCAGCUGAUAACAAGGUGAUUGAAAGCCAAGCUACCAGUGAUCAUUUCUAUGGAAAUAAUAACCAGUCGUUUGCAGGCCAGAUGAGCUUAACGAAUCAAGAUCCAUUUACAACAUCAUAUCUAAGCUUUUUGAAUCAAAAUGGAGACCAACUUUUUGGAGAUGAGAACUGGGAUGAGCUUAGACCAAUGGUUGAGUUUGCACUUGAUCCUUCAGAGAUAUAUUGUCUUUAAUAAAUGGAGGGCAGAUGAUGUUGCCGGUAUCUUUUUCUCUAGUAAAGAAAAGUACUCCGUCUAAACGUGAAGGGGAUGGGGUGGCAGGGAAUUCAAAUAACGAAUAGUUACUCACUAGAGGGUGUAAUUGUAUUAGGCUUCUAGUUUUAUGCAACUAUUCUACACGUGUAAUUUCACUUACGUUUUCUUAAUUCCUCGCCACACCCUCAUUGCUACUUUUCUAAACCAGGACUUGUACCCCACUAUCACGGGUUGAAUUGGAAUUUCAUUUAGAAUUCUAUUUAAUUUAAUUUUUAAUAUUUUAUAAAUUAAAAUUUUGAUUCAUUCAAAUUAUUUUACAUUCAAGCAUGUUAAAUACAUAGAUCGGAUUAAUUUUAUGUGCCUAUUAUAGAUAUUUAUAAAUUAAACUUAUAUUAUUAAUUUUCAUGAGCUGUGAAACUCGAAAGAGGUUCAUGUUGGGAGGAAUAUUCACAACUGGAAAGAACCUAACAACUAAAAAGAUUUCAAAAGUUUAUAUAAUCUAAGUGUCCGAAGCACGAAUUAUUCAGAAAUGAUCGAGCACCAGGACAAGGAGCGUAAGCUCCAUCAACAAUAACUUAUGCUAAGAUAAUUAUGCAACUAGAUCUUCUAAGCAUUUGAUUAUAUCCAGCAACAGCUAUAUAAAUCACUUCAUAAAAGACUUAUCCAAUCCUAUUAUGCUACUCAAGAAAUGAGGGACAAGAGACACGAAUUUCCCAAAAGCAGAGAAUACCAUGCUAGGAAUCUAUAAGGGAUUUGAAUGAACAAAAAUAGCAACAUAAAAACUAAAGACGACGUUUGUUUACGUGGCUGCGGCUGCGUUUUAUUUAAAACGAAGUCAGCAGCCGCUUGAUAAUUAAAAACAUCGGUUACUGUACAUGGAGCCCACGUGAUUUUUGCGUUUAAAACGCUGAAAAGGAAAAGCUACGACAACUUGUUUUGCAUGCACUGUAGCGGAUAAAAAAUAACGAACAGUGCAUUUCACUGCACUGUUCACGUGAACAGUGCAAUUCACUUGCACUGUCCAUAGUUUUUUUUUUUUUUAAGUGUGUUAAUUGUAUUUAUUUAAAAUUAAAAAAAAACUAAUUUAAAGAAUUAAAUUCAUUCGUGAUGUGAACAAUAUUUUUUUUCUUGAAAAACUAGUAUAGAGUGAAUUAAAUUCACUCGCACAGUAAUAUCAAUUUUAUAUCUGAUGAUAUUUUAUCUUAUUUUAUUACACGCUCAAAAAAUUAUGAAAACUGUAGUUCUUAUCGGAUGAAUUUUAUACGUAAUGGAAUUAUAAAUAGUUUAAUGGAAUAAUAAAAAAUAUUAUAUAUAAAGUAUUAUUUUUUUCCUGAUGUAAUAGGAGUAAUUAAUUUUACAAUAUUUAAAUUUAAAACCAUCAAUAUUAAUAUAUUUUUUAAAAAAAUUAUUUUAUAACCUUAAUUUCAAAAGCAUUCUUAACCAAACACAUUAAACUACUUUUUCUUCAACCACAAUUUUAACCAAACACCUAUUUUUUCAAACCAACCUCAACUAAAGGUACUUUUUAUAAAACAAUUUUUUUAAACCACAACAGCUACCGCAAUACCAAACACACUCUAAGCUUCAAAGUUAUAUAAGUUUUGGUGUUUAAAAUAAUUGGUGUAAGGUGGUGAGUGAGGAAGAAAAGGAGUAUUUGUAAUAAGUAUUUUGUACAUGAUAUGCAGAUUAGGUUGGAUUGAUCAGAUUUAAAAAAUCUUGACUCACCACCUGACUCAUAAUGUCUAUUUCUUAUAGUGUUUUUUACGACUACUAUACAUAAUAUUCACAUUAAUUGACUUUAAUAGGUUAGGUCGAGUCAGAUAAUGUAAAUAUUAUAGAUAAAUUAUUUUUUUCAACACUCUUACCACCUACUAAGAAAAAAUUAGAGUUACACUACCAAAAAAUUAUCAAGUACAAAUGAAAAUAUCGUCGGUAAAUUAUAGUGAUAUUUACUGACAGAAUAUUACCUUUUUUUUCCUCGGUAUUCAUAAAUGAAAAUUGUUCAUCAAUGAUUAUAAAAGGAAUUAUAGUUGGAAAUGAAAGAAUGAAAAAAAUAAUAAAAAAGGAAAAAUGAUGUUUUAUUAUUACAUAUAGAAUUAUCGAGGAAACAUGCAUGUUGCUAUUACCCGUCAAUAAUAUUAAGUUAUAGCCUAAUAGAUGAGCUCCCUCUUCCCUUUUCUUAUUUCUUCUUUUUCCUUUUUAACACUGUAGAAAACAUCACAUAACAUUCUCUAUUUUGUCACAAAUCAAGCUCUCAUCAUCACAAAUUUAGCUACCUCAAUACUCAAUCUAACAAUAUCCCUCUUCUAGUUCAUUUUUUUCUUAAGAUUUGCUUCAUCAAGUAAGAAAAACUAUCUAAUUUUUGUAAUAACCUAUUUUUAAAAGUUGACUUUUUGGCAUUUUGAUGAAGUAUAUGCAGUUUGUUUGGAUGUUUACUCUUUUUACAGCUUUUUCUCAUAGAAAUUUGUUAUAUGAAUGUAUGAUUUGUACAUGUUAGGGUUUAUUUGAGAUUUUAAAAAAUUAUAUUUAUUUUUCAUUUGAUGAAAUUGAGUUUGAUUUUGUAACUUAAGUGUUUUAUAAUGAACUAAAUAAUGGUUUAUUUAAUGGGCACGCUUUAAAUUUUUUUCAAUUUUAUUGUUUAGUAAAAUUUUUUAGCGAAUUUGGAGGGAUUUGAAUUUUUAUAAAAACUUAAUAAUGAUUUUAAGGGUACUAUUAAAAUAGAUUGAAUAAUUUUGAGUUAAAUCAAUGAUCAUUAAUUAGUUGGGUACCGAUAAUUUAUUUAGUUUACAUUAUUAAUUAAUACAUGUUAUCAUCAAUAUUCUAUAUAGGUUUUAUAUAAGUGAUGGAUAAUAAUUAUUGGAUGUAUCUAGUUUCACCUGAACGGUCGUACAAGAUGGAUUAUUUUAAUAGAGUUAAGGGUUUUAUUAAUUAUGCACUAUUUUAUUUCAAAAAAUAUUAGUGAAGUUGGUAUUAGAUAUCUAUGUAAGGAGAGUAAAAAUAAAAAGUUUCUCGAUUAAAAUGUUGUUAUGAUGUAUCUUCUAUAGAAAGGGUUCAUAAAGAAAUACUUGUGUUGGUUUACAAACAGAUAAUCAUAUUUUCUUAUAAGAGCAUGGUAGAAAAAAUGGUUGGGUCAACUUUUAGUUCUAACAACGUGUAUGAAGUUGUAGAUGAUAAUAGUAAUUGUUAUAGGAGUAUUGUUAUGGAUUCAACGAAAAUGAAUCAGGGUGAUGCAAGUGAAUGUUUAAUUAUAGAUGAAGAAUCAAAUGCAAACACAACCAAGCUUUUUAAUCUUUGAAAGAUUCUGACUAACUAUUAUGGGAUAGGUGAAUAAAUCAUAGUAAAUUAUCGUUUGUUAUACAUGGGUUCGUCAUCAAGUCAAAUCAUAAGCUAAGCGAGACCAGUUAUGACAAAAUCGUUGAAUGGGAAAAAAAACAUUGUACUUAAAAAGAAUAAGCUGAAAGAGAUUUUUUAUGUUGUUAAAUCUAUGAUGAAAGUCCUUGGCCUAGGAUACCAAAAAAUUGACGAGUGUUCAAAUUUAUACAUGUUGUACUUCCUAGAAAAUACAUAUUUGAUCGAGUAAAAAACUUAUGGGCAUGCUUGGUAUAAACUCAAAACUAACAAGGGAAGGAUUAAUUCUUGUCAUACAUAGAAAACGAGAUAAUUUCCAAUCAUUUCUAGCUAUAAAAUGUUAUAUAUGUCUCCAAAAACUACUAAGCACAUGAUAUGCCAUCAUUCACUUGAUGUAGUGGAUGAAGUCAUGGUGCGUCCUUCCAAUGGUGAAGCCUAGAAGCAGUUUAAUAGGGUGUAUCCUUAAUUUUCAAUGUAAUCAUGAAACGAACGUGUUGUGUUAUGUAUAUACGAUUUGGUGCACCAUAUUCUUGUUGGUUAGUGAUAUUCAUGAUGUGGCCUUGUAAUAUGAGAGCAUUGUGCUUGGUUUUUAAUCUGGUAAGCAAAAGUUUCCUGAUUUUGUUGUGACCCACAACUAAGUUAAGCAAAAUAUUUUUUAGGAGUUUCCUUAUAAGAAGACUAAUUUUUUCCGCCAUAAUUUUUAGGCCAUAAAUAUAAAAAGAAUAUGUUUAAAAAUAUUUUUAACAUGGCGAUGAAUGUAAAAAGGAAGACAAAGGACAAAGUAAAGGUUAGAAUGAAUAUACCUUUGUUUUAUCACUAUAAAAAUAUGAAAUUGAUUUAUGAUGGGUCACAGAUCACAAAGCCUAAAGCCAGCUUCACCUUCGACAAUAAUACACAAUUACUUAUCUACUAAUGACUUAAAAGUUUGUGUUUUCUUGAUUGAUAUGCUUUGGAUAUAUCCAGAUUAGUGAAUUUAAAGGAUGACAAAUUAUAUAGAAAGAAGAGUUAUGACUGUCGCACGUCAAAAUCCGCGCGGCGUCGGCUGAUGAUUUUUUUGUCUGUUUUUUGUUUGAUUUGUUCGUUGGGAGUCGCCACCUAGUAUUUAAUUGAGGGCUACUAGAAAACCCGGGUGUACUGGUUUUGUCAGAGAUUCACGGGUAAGGGACUGGUUGUGGUUAGGGAAGGUAUUAGCACCCCUAACGCACCUUACCUGAGGUAAGCUGCUUCGUAACUUUGACGUGUUAAAGAAGUUUUAAUAAUUGUCUUUUCAUCGGAUAUUAGAAAUACAACUUACGUAUAAGUUAAUAAUUCUUGACCGUGAGCAAAUCAAAAUAUUAAAUUCUUUUUUAAUCUUUAUAAUUUUAUCAUAAAAUAAAUAAAAACAUCCAUAAAUAAAUAAAAUCCAAACACAUAAACACAUAUCUUUUUCAUUACUAUACUCAUUCUAUUAUAUUUUUCAGAAUAACACAAACUAAAAAAAAACAUUUAAUAGAAAUUUAAAUACAUGUUCGAACAUCUAAAAAUUAAAAAAAGGUUCCUAAAGAGUCCAGGAACUAUAGAGGAGGACUUCUGAAAAUAGAGGGUAGUGGCGACGGAUGUUAAAAAAAAAACUAAAUUUAAAAAAAAACACAAUUGUACAGGAAUGUUAAACUUGCCGAAAACCUAGAAGUUGAGCGCUACUUGCAAGGAGGUUGAUUCAUGGAAAUUACACGGAUGUUAUAAAUCGCAUAUCUUCCAUGUGCCAAAUUACAAAGAGACCUGAUAUAUGUGCGUCUGCGUCUGCGGCUGCGGGCCUGGAAGAAGCUAAAAGAGUCCUCGUGCAUGAAAAUUAAAUUAAACUUUCCUUCUGACUGAGGCACUGCCAAGUUACUUUACAAAAUAUAAAAAAUAUAAAAAUAAAUACGGGGAUAGGAAGGAAAAUUCAGUCACUCAUUUGCUUAGACAAAACAGUAGUAAACAAAAAUCAGCUCCUAACAAAGCAAAACUGGGGCCAGCUAAGAUAAAGGUAAAUCUAUAACCUAAAACCAUUGACAAACCCGGUUCUUCUCUGCUCCAUAAUACAAGAAAAUAUUUGCUUAAAGCAGUAAUCUGUUAUUCUCCGGAACUUCGUGCUUUCUUCGUCCAAGUUUGCGACGUCCUUCCUCUUUUUGGAUAACUUUUGGCUGGAUUCUGGAAUCCAUUUUGCUCCUCGGUAAAUUGUGCAGCCAGCCAUGCGAGCCCGUAAUUCUUCCAAGCUCUCACCUUCCUUUGCUCUCUCCAGAACCUGGAAAAUAGAGCAUUGGUUAUUAUAAACGUUUGGAUAAUAAGCAUGGUUUAGAAAUGUUCUGAAACAAAAUAAUCACCUGGCCAAAUGGGCUAAAUAGCUGUCUGAGAUCUUUCUCUUUUGCCUCAAAAGCUACAUCUCCUAUCCUUCCAAGCCUUUUUGACUGCAUGUUCAUCCUUCUGGGCAUGGCAAAGUUGCAAAAUAAGAGCAUGGCCAUCCAAAACAGUUCCCUGAACAAAAGACUGGAAAAAUGAAGGUGAGCAAAAACAGCAGCAGAUUUCAACAACUAUACACAAGGUCUGGAUUUGUAAUUACUUGUAGAUCUCUGCAGAUAUCUGUAGCUUUUUCCACAGAAUCAAACUCUAUAAAGCCAAAACCCAUUGAAAUAUUCUUCCCUUUUUUCAUGUGCUUCUUUAUCUGCACGAGAAACGAAUGAAAUGAAAUCCAACAUAAGAGUGAUACAGAACAUACAAUACAGUUAAGGUUACAAUGAUCUAGAUUAUUACCCUGACACCGAAGUGCUUUUUCAAAAUUUCAUCAGAGCAGUCUUGAGAUUCAGGUUCUUGACAGACAAAGAUCGCGACUGUAGCAAAACAGACAACAAACCAAAAAAUGAAAAAUGAAGAAUGAAGUUGGGAAACCACAGCUAUAAAAUCAAUCUCUUAUGAUCCACAAUCUUUUGUGGUAUCAUAUAAUUCACAACCUUGCAGUAGUAUAGUUCCAAAAUUGAAGGAGAUUGAUUUACUAUGUCUAUAACUUCAAAAAAAAAAAGAAAAAAAGAAAAGGAAAUAAAUGCAGAGGAGAAAUGAUAUGUGUCUAACCUCAAUUCUAUCAGGAUCAAUAUCCAUUUCGGAUAUUUCUUCCAAACUUUUCUCCAGUAUCACCCUCUUGGCAUCUUGUUCACCCACAGCUGAAUCAUUUUUUUCAUCACUCUUAGAGAUUGAACUUUGAAUAAGAAUACUGGCAGUAGUCCACUCCAAAUAUAAUGGAACACCCCUGUUUGCUAAUUUUUUGUUAAUUAAAAUAGUUUUUUUAUUCAAUCAAAUGAUAAUAAAAAUAAACACACACAUUAAAUUAUAUUUGCUAAUUUUUUAUUAAUUAAAGUAUGUAUAUUUUCAAAUAAUAUUUUUAAUAUGUUCAGCCAUGUAUAAUAUAUUUUUUCCUUUUAUUUUACUCAUAUAAUUUAAUGUGUAUGUUUAUUUUUAUUAUCGUUUGAUUAAAUAAAAAAACUAUUUUAAUUAACAAAAUUUUGCAAACACAACCGGGUAUGUAUUUUAAUCUACACUUACCUCUUGAUUUUUUUUUUUUUAGUUAUUAUUAAUUAGUUUUUUUUUAAUUUAUUGGCAUACAUAGUUCUCAAUUUAUUUCAUUACAUAUAUGCAUAAUUUUUUUUAUUUACAAUUAAAAAAUAUUUCCAGCUACAAAAAUACAUUGAAAAAAGUUGUACAUAUAAUUUAUUUUAUAGAAAAUAAAAAUAUACGACCCACACCUGAUCACAUUACUAGUUAAGUAUAAAGCUAAAAGGUGUGGAGAAAACAUUGUUUCCCCACACUCAUGAACAUUGUGGAUUUUAAUAGUAAUCCUUAGUGUUUUGUAAUUAUUAUUAUUUUGCAUUUUGACUUUUUUUAUUAUUGAUUAUUGAUUUUUUUAAUUUAGUCCUUAUAUUUAUUGAGAUUCAGAGUUGAUAAUUUAUUUUAGUUUGCUAUUUAUAUGGUUAUCAUAGUAUCAAAAACAAUCUUAGUAUUCAGUUAAUAUUAAAAAAUUAUUCUAGCAUCAUAAUAUGGUUUAUUUUUUAAAAAUGUUUAAUUAUAUAAAAACUAAUUAAGAAAAAAGUUAGUAUUAAACUAUGUGGUGUCAAUGACAUCGUUUACGAGUUUGAUAAGGUAACCCUAUUUGCCCUAGUUUGUGGAUUUAGCGGGGUAUUUUUUUAAAAAAAAUUGAACUCGAUUAUGUGAUCGUCUAUUUUUUUAUCAUAUAAUUAAAAAAUAUUUUUUUAAAAGAAGUUAUUAAAUUUUUGAAAGUCCAUGAGCCUGUUCGUGGGUUUGGCGAGUUUAAUUCUUUUUUUUUUUAAUUCAGUUUUUUUAUUUCAUCCUUUGAUAUUGGGAUAAUUGAGAAUUGAAUUUUAUAAUUUAUUUUAUUUCACUUUCGAUAAGGUUAUCAUAAUUUUAAAAAAGAAGUCUAUGUAUUAGUUUGAAGCUCGAUUUUGUGAUCGUCUAUUUUUGUUAUUAUAUAGUUAAAUAAACAAUAGUUUAGAAAAAAAAAAAAACAAGUUAUUAAUCCCAAUGGAAUCCAUUACUUGGUUUGCAGGUUUUACGUGUUGACGGGGGUUACCUAAUUCACUGGUUUGUCUGGUUUAUCCAUCAAAUCUAAUAUGUUUUUUUUUAUCCUUCAAAUUUUUAUAAUUGUUUUUUUUUUAUUUCACCAUUUUUCAAUAUUGAAUUGGUUGGAAAAUACAAAUAAUUUACAAAAACAACAAAGUUAUCAAACUCAUUAAAAUUCAUGAUCUAGAUUGCAAGGUGAUCGAAUUCGAUCCAAUCUAGCAUCGUCUCAAUAUUUUUAAUUUUUUUUUUAAUCAUUUUUAAGGUUUUUUAAAAUUUAUAUCGUACUUUUACCGGUUGUCGAAAUUGUUUUUAAACUUAUUAAAUUGAUUAAUUCAUUUUAAAUUAAUUUUUAUAUAAGUUAAUUAAAAACUCGAGUAAAAUAAAAAGCAGAGUUGAUAACCGAUUGAUUAAAUUUUAAAAAAGUAGUAGUCUGAACCGCAGCGAAGUAGAUGCUAAUAUACUAUUAUGGCUCUACGCCAGAUGCCUGGAGCCAUAUAAAUUAAUAAAAGCGUCAGGGCCCUGGCGACUUUAUAAGCCAUUAGUGUGGCGCCAUACACAUCUACGAAAGGUACCAGGUCAAGUGGCCGGCACUGAUCAUUGAACCCAGGCUCUAAACUCCAUGUCUGGAUCUUUUUCAGGGCUCCUCGUUGUAAGAAAAUUGGGCUUUGAGCCUAUAAAAUACUCCACCAGAUAACAUUAAAGAUUAGAUAAGUAAAGGACCUAGAAUUUACGGCCAAACCCAACUUAAAAAAAAUAAAAAAAUAAAUAAUGUGUAGCUUGAACCUGAUACUUCCUCCUGGAAAAAAAAAGACACUUUGUACUUCAUUGAUUCUUUUAUUAUUAUUAUUACACUUUACAUGUAGUAAGAUAUAUGUAUAAAAUGUCACAAUGGCCUUUGGCAUUGACCAGUAACCCACUGGUUCAAUAACUUAACCGAGUCAUUAUUCCAAUCAGGUUCUUCAAUCUCUCCUAAAGUCCUCAAACGACAAGUCGUCAUCCUUGAAAAUAACUACAUGAUAACUCACUCACAUCAGACAAGAACAAGGGAACAAAAAAAAAGGAGUCAAUGCCUCCCUCGUACAUGCCACCAAGCAUAUUACAAGUGAACACCAAGGACAAAAGAAAAAAAGAAGAGUCAAUGGCUUCCUCGUACUUACCAUCGGCAUAUUCUGCAACUCAGAGAAGAUCAUCUCGAACGCCAGACAACCCAAUAAUUGCCGGACCCCUUAAUCCGGGUCUAGCUCCGGCUCCAAAUCCAAGACCCAUAUUGCAGUUUCUAGCUUUUGGACUGUUUCUACUCCUUAGUUUGCUUCAGUUACUACCUGCCACUCAUUCUCGAGACCCAUCUGACCCUUCCAGAAAUUGGGUUCCUCUCCAUUCUAAUCCUUCUUCUCCAGUUAAGUUCAUUCUAUGCAUUUUUUUUGUUCAAGCUCGAAACUUUAUGGUGUUUUUGUAGUCAAGAUUGAUGUUGUAUUGUAUACACUCGUGGCUAAUAGUUCUGUUUUUAUGGUUAUAGUUAAGAGAGUUGGGUGCAAGAAAUGGCGAUGGAGGUGGAGAUGAUGGAAUGGUGCAUGUUGUGUCAUGGAUGGAUUGUUUAGACCUUAGAGUUCUUGCAGUACUUGCAAAUUCAACUCUGUCUAGCUCAAGGUUUGUUUGAACCCAUCCUUGUAUAGUUUUGUUGAAAAAAGGAUCAAAGCUAGCUACUUGGUUUCAAAUCUUCAGCAUUAGAUGAUAGAUCCUUCUGCAUGUUUAUUUUUUGUACCUGUAAUUUAAAUUGGAUAUUGUGUAUUAGAGUAAUUGUUUUGUCUUUUCAUUGGUUUAUUCAAUUGCUUGUUAUUCUUUGUUGUUGGAGUUUGGAUUUGUUGUAGAAAGCUUGUUCUAUUUUGUUAAACUUUUUUCUCAUUUCUCAUUUCUUGUUGUUGAUGAUCAGCUGUCCAGAACUGGUUUCUUUUCAUUUUUUUAUCCCUAGAGGGGAUGAAGACAAAGUGCCUUUCUAUAAGUUGAAGGUCUUGUUUCCACAUUCAAAACUUGAAAUUCACGGGUAACUCUAUUACUAUUAUGUUUUCUAAUAAUACUUUUGGGGAUCUGUUUGUUUAUAUUGAUGUUGUUAUGAAAUAAUGUAGGCAGGAAGAGGUUAAAGAAAUUGUGAGGAUUGCCUUUUCUGAUGAACAAUAUGCUGAACCCAAUUACGAGGAAAUAGUACCGUUUAUCAUACCAACUGUGCACCAGUUCUUGAGCAAAUUCAUAUACGUUUCAGCGAAUGUAAUUAUGAAGGUUAGUUCUAUAUGUUUAACAAUCGCCUUUCUUUUUCUGUAUUGCUGGUGUUUAUAGUAGUUUUUUCCUGUUUUGUUUAUCUUUGGAUGAAAUGGGGAAUUCUUUUGAAAUUAGCAAUAAGCAAAAAUGAAGCUGUAGAAAAAACUGAACUUGUUGUAAUACUAUCUUAGGCAAGUGGCAUCAAAGUAUAUACUUUUCUCAGUCAUAGGAUAAUUCAUGAUAUCUAUAUGUGGCAAUAGACCAUUUCUCCAGUCAAUGUUUCUCCCGAAAGAGCAGUGUCAUCAAGUUCCUUUACUUGUAUUGCAGGCUAGAGUUGAAGAACUCAUUGGAGUUGACUUGAACAAUUAUGCUAUAGCAAGUGCCGAAGACUGCUCUCAGAGAUUAAAAACUUAUGUUAAUUCAGAUGUGUUGGAUGCUAUUCAGAGAUCAGGUUCAAAGCCUUGGGUAUCAGAGACACCUUAUGCAAAGGAUACUUGUUUGCCAGACUUAAGUGUGCUUGUGAUUAAUGCGAGGAAAUUAGACAAAAAUAUUGUUGAGACCGUCUUAUGGUGGAGCAAAGUUUUGAAUUUGAGAGAAAGGUUUCAUAGUCUCCUCUAUUUCUGAUUUUCUUUUCUUCAAUUAGGAAUCUGACAUGGUACCAGUUGACAAUUGUCUGUUUAUAAGACUAGUGACUCGGAAUAUAAUUCUAUGGGCUUGAUUUUUGGAGCAGUGUGUUUUAACAGCAGGAAAUUGAAUGUUCAUCGAUUUGUUAUUAUUUCAUCAUUUUGCCUAGUGUUUGGGGUAGAACAAUAGCAAUACAAAAGUAAUUCAGGAUUAGCUUUAACAUUCUAUGGAGUGUUGAUGCACCCUUAAGUUUCAAUUUUGAAAGCAGCAAUGGCCAUUUAGGCAGGGCCAAAAUGCUGUAGUUUUUUCGCUCUUUGUUAUCACCUGGCCUCAUACUGUUUCAUUAGAUUCUGACUGCUGGAGAACAUAAAUUUUCUUAUGGAAUUGCUCAUCUCUUUCCACUUGUCUUUUUUCCUGUCUUGGGUUAUUUGCAGGACCGAUCAGAAAAAUCUAGCAGUUGCGUUAGCACUUUACAACAGAUAUCUCAAGCUUUCAUCUUCUUGGUUGGUCAAGGAUAUCACAUCAUCUGAAGUUAACAACAGCAUGAUUAUCUACUAUGAUGGGCCCAAGACUAGUUGCAGUGAAUCCGUCAGUGGCGCUGCCUCGAAAUACAGUGGUGGCAAUGUCUGGACUCAGUACCUUCCUUCAAUCUCAGAUCGAAUCUUGGGCAGCUAAAAUAGUACCUAUACAACAAUGCAGGGCAUGGGAUGAAAUUUGCUGUUGAUGUAUUAUAAGGCACUUGAUAUUGCAAGUCAAAUUAAACAUGAAAAUGCAUAUUUUUUUUGGUAAUUUGAACAUUUACUUAUAUUUUUUCUUUGCUCUGAUGUAAUUGAUAAAUAUCCAAUAUGAAUGGAAAUGUUCUCUGCAGUAAAACCAUUCUUUUGAUUUAGAGGUCAGCCAUUUUGUGAAGGAGAUUGGUUACAAGCUUCUCUUGAGGAUCAUAUGAGCAUAUUAGAAGCAUAAAGUUCGUAGACUUUGGUUCUUAUCGACUAGUAUCGACUUCUGACAUAAAGCAGUUGAAGAUCAUUUGAGAUUAAAGAUACUGUUAGUAGCACAGCAUUGGUAGGUCUGAAGUUUCUGAAAAAAAACAUGCACUUUUGAUGGGAUGAAAUUCUUGUGUGUAGCUGGAUCAUUGUGCUCCUAGAUAGUAUAAUGCUUGGUUCACUAGAGAAAACUAUUGUGUCUGGCGGUAGGCACCUGGCUGUUGUGUAAUUACGUUGGAUGCUGCUUGAAGCAUAUGGAGUUUCCUUGAGGUCAAACAAAAAAAAUUAGGACAAAAAAAGGGACAGUUCAAGAUACUCGUGUUGAACAUUGUAUAUCCAGGAAAGGGAGCAUAGAAGCGAUGUGUUUAAUGCAGAAAGCACUUUGGCCGGCUGCUUCUGGAUUUGUGUUUGAGGUCGAGGGAUUAUUUGAUUUGUACUUCGUAGUUCAAUAUUUUUCUGGAAAAAAAAGUAGCCGUUGGUUUCAUUGUCUUUUUUCAAUUGUUUUUAUUUCCCUUCACAAAGUUACCAAGUUUAUUCUAUUCUCCAAUCUUAGUCCGAAUGGAAUCCAUUUCGUAGCCGGCAAGUGUAGCCGGCUAUCAAAUUAUAAUCUAAUUGCAUUAAAAACCCCAUCUGUUCUACUGAUUUUCUUAAUUCUGCAUCAGAUUCUUCUACAUCUUCUGGUUGAUGUUCACGUAUCAUAUUGUAAUCAGAGCCCAAACAAUAGUGGCAUUAAAAUGAUUCGUAUAUAUUUCUAUAGGAAUGGGAAUGGAAUGAUAGAAAGCAAUAUUUUAACUCAAGGACACAAAUAGCAUGUACUGCCAUUCUUCUACCUCCGGCGCCGUUGACUACAAUGUUAAAGUUUUGUUUAAUAAUGCAGCAACCAUGAAAAGUGGGGAUUUAUGAAUUUUUUAGUAGUUGAUGGAUGAUAAGAUGAACAUAGACAUGUGAACGUUUGUAACGCUAAUUUAAUAUCUCAGAUUCGAAGGAAAGUUUACAAGAUUUGUCUCGCAGAUCUAGAGGCAGUGCAGAGUGAUAUUAAAUUAACUAGCAUAUCAUUUCUGAUAAAGAGGCUAGCUUAAAUUUGCAGUAACCAUGUGUUUUUCUUGGUAUUUUCACCUAGUGUUGAUCGAUUUUGGAAAUUUCGAAGGUGUGCAUAAGGAAGUUGGCAUUUGUUAUGUUCAGAUGAGAGAGUUCUGAAGCAUGUGUGAGUUUUACCCAGUCAAAGGCCUGCAUGCUCCAAGAAAGUACAAAAUAUAGCUUUGUUUUUUUCUUUCUCAGAAAAGAUUAGUGAUGGUGAAAGGUUGAGAAUUGAGAAAAUGAAGAAUCUCAAUAAACAAAGAAAGGAAUAAUUUUAAAAGGUUGACCUUUCCAAAAUGAUGGGCGCUGUUUUUGGCACCCACUGUUUUAUGUUGAGUUCUAUCCGAGGUAGAUGAAGACAAACUACACUCACUCAGCUAUUAAAAUCAUCAGGGUUCGUCUUGAAAAUUCUGAUUUUGGUGAAAUGAUAGAGCAAGUUACGAUUUCUUAUCGUUGAAGGUUUUUUUUUUCCUUGUUUUUCAAUAUUAUACUGAAUUAACAGAAAUUUGUGUGGUGAGAACGAUGCACGGAUCAUCUAGGAGAACAAAGGGGAAGGUAAGAUGGAGCAAACUGUAUUCAUUUUCGUGCUUUCGACCACACACAUCCGAUCCUGAUUCUGGUCAGGAGCUCAUCGGACAGCCAGGAUUUUCUCGGGUGGUUUUCUGCAACGAACCUCAAGUGCACAAGAGAAAACCUUACAAGUACACAAACAACUCGGUAUCCACAAAAAAGUACACUGCUGUCACUUUUCUACCCAAAGCACUUUUCGAGCAGUUCCGCAGAGUUGCCAAUUUGUAUUUUCUUUUGACAGCAGCGUUGUCCAUCACUUCUUUGUCUCCUGUUAAACCUGUAAGUUUGAUUGCUCCGUUGGUAUUUGUGGUGGGGAUCAGCAUGCUCAAAGAGGCUGUUGAGGAUUGGUAUAGGUUUUUGCAGGUAACUUCUUGCAAAACAUAGCAUGAAUUCUGAUUUUUCUCCUCAUAUCAUUUGAAAACUUUUAUCACCCAUUAAUUAAUUAUUAAUUAUUCACGUUAUUUUCCAUCAUCUUUACAUUUCAGAAUUUGAUUAUAUUUUUACUUUAAAGUGAAAUUUAGAUGGAUUUUCUUGCUAUGGUUAUGUUACCAUUAAUUCUGUGCAGGACUUGAAUGUGAACACUCGAACAGUAAAGGCUCAUGCAGGAAAUGGCUUAUUUGUGGAUAAGUUAUGGAGAGAGAUUUCUGUAGGAGAUGUUGUUAAGGUUAACAAGGAUGAAUACUUUUCGAGCGAUCUUCUCUUGCUAUCGUCCAGCUAUGAAGAUGGUGUUUGUUAUGUGGAGACUAUGAACCUUGAUGGAGAAACGAAUCUGAAAAUCAAGAGAUGUUUAGAGGGCACACUUGAUUUGAAUGAGGAUGCAAAAUUCAGUGAAUUCAAAGCCACCACCCGUUGCGAGGAUCCCAAUCCAAGCCUUUACACCUUUGUGGGGAAUUUAGAGUUUGAGAAUAAAGUAUACCCCUUGAGCCCUUCUCAAAUACUUUUAAGAGAUUCAAAGCUUCGAAACACUGAUUAUGUUUAUGGAGCAGUGAUCUUUAGCGGGCAUGAUACGAAAGUAGUAAGGAAUUCCACCAUGUCACCAUCUAAACGAAGCAGGCUUGAGAAAAAGAUGGAUAAAGUCAUCUACCUUCUUUUCUCUAUGCUUCUUCUGAUCUCACUAGUGACUUCCAUCGGGUCUGCUGUGGUCAUAAAAUCUGAUAUGAGUCAAUGGUGGUACCUUAGUUUGGAAGAUUCUGAUCCACUCUUCGAUCCAUCAAAUCCUUUAAAAUCAGGUUUUCUUCAGUUCAUAAGGGCUCUAAUAUUGUAUGGUUACUUGAUUCCCAUUUCUCUGUAUGUCUCCAUUGAAAUUGUCAAGGUUCUACAAGCUAAGUUCAUUAACAAGGAUAAAAAAAUGUAUGAUGAGGCAACCUGUAAGUCUGUCCAAGCUCGAACUUCAAAUUUGAAUGAAGAACUUGGUCAAGUAGAAAUCAUUCUGUCAGAUAAAACAGGAACUUUGACUUGUAAUCAGAUGGAGUUUAGGAAAUGCUCGAUUGCUGGAAUUUCGUAUGGGGGUAACAUAAAUGAAGUUGAUAUUGCUGCUUCAAAGCGAAUGAAUACUGACAUUGACGCAUAUCGAUCUAGUAUCGACCAAUCUGAUACAACAAGUCAGAGCCUUGAAAUGUCUGAGUUUUCCGUGGCUGAUAUUAUCACUCAACAGGCUAUUCUUAGGGGUCAAGAAAAUGCAGAUAAUUUGAAUGCUAGAAACUCAAGACUCUCUGACGUGAGGAAAGAAUCAGUUAUCAAGGUCAUCAAGGGUUUCAACUUCAGGGAUGACAGGUUAAUGAACAACCAGUGGAUUUACAGGUCUGACUUGUUUGAUAUGACAAUGUUCUUCAGAGUCAUGGCUCUAUGUCACACAGGUAUACCCAUUGAAGAUGGCCAAACUGAUAAGCUUAAAUAUGAAGCAGAGUCCCCAGAAGAAGUUGCUUUUUUGAUUGCUUCACAAGAAUUUGGAUUCCAAUUUUUCCAGCGGACACAAUCCCUAAUGACCCUCAAAGAGCUUGAUCCUUCCUCCGGGAAGCAGGUGAAGAGGUAUGCCCACCCCCAAACACCCCCCUAGUCAAAAAGCGUUAAGCUAACGUCGUGGUUUAUGUUCAGGGAGUACAAGCUGUUGAAUUUGUUGGAGUUCAGUAGUUCUCGAAAAAGAAUGUCUGUAAUAGUAAGAGAUGAAGAUGGUAAAAUCUAUCUUCUCUGCAAAGGGGCAGAUAGGUAAGUCACCCACUACUCGUUCCAUUAUUUGAAUCCAGUUCUGUACAGCAGUGAAUGAAUUCCACUUAAGUCAUUCUGUUCUCAUUUUUCAACAUUUUUUUUCCAGCAUCAUCUUCGAUAGGCUUGCAGAUAAUGGUGGGGCAUACCAAGAAGCAACAACCUCACACCUUUCAAAUUAUGCAGAAGAUGGAUUUCGGACUCUAGCAUUUGCUUACCGAGUACUUGAACUGGCUGAGUACGAACAGUGGAACUCAAUAUUUAUGCAGGCAAAGACUACAGUAGGUCCUGAAAGAGAAGAAUUACUGGAGCAUGCAACUGAAAUGAUAGAAAAAGAACUAAUUUUAUUAGGAGUUGCUGCUGUUGAAGACAAGUUACAGAAAGGGGUUAGCCUCUCUCUUUCUGAGCGAGUACAUGCAUGUUUGGGAUUGAAAGUAGAGAGUCUGUUUUAUGGAACUGAUGCAUCUUUCUUGACUUAUGGCAUCAGGUUAUAGAAUGCAUAGAUAAACUUGCUCAAGCAGGGAUGAAAAUAUGGCUGCUCACUGGUGACAAGAAGGAAACUGCAAUAAACAUCGGGUAAGGUUUGUGAUUUGUGAACUUUUCUUGAAAGAUACAAGCCCAAUAGGAAAAGAAAAGAAAUGUGGACUGCCUUACUAAAGCGCUGUUUUUUCUUCCUGUUUUCUCUUCUGUUCUGCAGAUUUUCUUGCAGCUUGCUUCGGCAGGACAUGAAACAGUUCCAUGUAUGUUUGAGCAAAGAAACCGAGUCCAAAAACCAACUGAAGGUGACAAUUUCAAAGAGUGACGUCAUUAGUGCACCAUCUGAAAACUGAUGAGUUAGUGGAAAAGAUAACAGAAUGGUUACGCAAACCCCAAAUACACUUAAUGAUGGAUUGUUGUUUCCUUACUGUGAAUUUGAUUGGUAAUUACAGAUUUUCUUAGCUAGUAAUAGAUUGCAUUCUCCUAUUUUUUCAGGCUAUGAAAGACGAGAUUUUGCACCAGAUUGAAAGUUCAUACCAAGUGAUGUGCCAAGAUAGCAAUAACUAUUCACCCUUUUCUUUGGUAGUGGAUGGAAGAGCUCUUGAAAUUGCUUUGAAAUCUGAUGUGAGGGACCAGUUCUUACAGUUGGCUGUUAAUUGUGCUUCUGUUAUAUGUUGCCGAGUAUCUCCAAAACAGAAAGCUUUGGUAGGUUUUGCAUCUUUUGCAUACACUGAUCACUGAUGUAUGUAGAAUUGACACAGUUUGGAUGCACUACAAACAAGAUUUGACUCAAGUCCACUUUGUUUCUAGUUUUAUUUUUUCUUUUUACUGAACAAGUUCUAUUAAUUGUUCCUCCAACUGGUUCGAAUAAGAAAUCCUUAUGAUUUCUUAAACAUCUUUCGAUGAACUUCAAUGACUUGCAUUUUCGAAAUAUUAGUUGCUCACAGACAUUGGCAUAUCCAGAUUACUCGAAUGGUGAAGGAGUACACUGGUAAGACAACCUUGGCAAUUGGGGAUGGAGCAAAUGAUGUUGGCAUGAUUCAAGAAGCUGAUAUUGGAGUUGGAAUCAGUGGAAUGGAAGGGAUGCAAGUAAGCCUCGCACUUCAUUGCAGGAAAACCUUUCUCGCAUCCUCUUCUGUCAUUUUAAGCGGAAUAUUAAGUUUCAUAUCUCCGUUAUUGAUUGCAGGCAGUCAUGGCUAGUGACUUCUCAUUGCCUCAGUUCCGAUUUCUGGAGAGAUUACUCAUAGUCCAUGGGCAUUGGUGUUACAAGAGAAUCUCUAAGAUGGUGAGUUUCCAUUUCUACAAUAUGUUAAUUUACUAUCUACAUGUUAAGGCUGCAUCUCUUCCUUAGGACUCAAAUUUCCAUCCUCCUGCUACAGGUUCUAUACUUUGUAUACAAGAACAUUGCUUUCGGCCUCACCCUAUUCUACUACGAAAUAUUCACAAAUUUCUCUGGGGAUUCCUUAUAUGAUGAUUGGUAUAUGGUAAUGUUCAAUGUCCUUUUGACAUCAUUGCCAGUUAUAUCACUUGGAGUCUUUGAGCAGGACGUUUCGUCAGAUGUAUGCCUCCAGGUAAUGUUCAAGCAAGAGAACCUGCAUUUCCCUAUAAACAAGAGGAAAGGAAGACUUCUAAUGCAUUUACAUUUUCUGUCAAAUGAAACAGUUUCCAUCCCUUUACAGACAAGGGCAGAGGAACAUCAUUUUUUCUUGGAGCCGUAUUGUUGGUUGGAUACUGAAUGGCACAGUUGCUGCCUCAGUCGUCUUCCUUGCAAACAUAUACAUAUUCUCUCCUGCUGCAUUCAGACAAGAAGGAAAUGUAGCAGACAUCACACAUUUUGGUGCCAUUAUGUACACAUGUAUAAUAUGGACUGUCAACUGCCAAAUUGCUCUCAUCAUCACUCACUUCACUUGGAUCCAACAUCUUUUCAUCUGGGGCAGCAUCCUGUUAUGGUACAUUUUCGCCGUCGCCUACGGUGCGCUCCCUCCCGACUACUCGCAACGAGGAUUCAACAUCAUCACAGAAUCGAUCGGAUCCACACCUAAGUACUGGAUUGCUACAUUUCUUGUUAUAGUUGUUGCAUUGCUUCCAUACUUCACACACGUUGCCUUUCAAAGACUGCUAUAUCCGAUGGACGAUCACAUAAUCCAAGAAAUGAAACACUGCAAGAAAGAUGUUACAGAAAAUCAGAUGUGGCUGAGAGAACAACGAAACUCGCAGAGGAGCACUCAGGUUGGAUUUUCAGCAAGAGUCGACGCAAGAAUUCGGUCAUUCAAAGAAGGGUUGAGCCUGAAGAGGAUAUCAAUCUAUAAGUCUGUGACAAACACUCCUUUCUAUAGAUCAUGGACAAGCAGUCCAUUAUUUUCUUAAGUUGGCUGAAGAAUGUAUUCUUUUUGUUCUUCUUUUAAAAAAAAUUUAUAAUUCAUUCAUAGAUUUACCUUGUAAGCUAGGUUCACACCUCUCGAUACCUCAAUGACAAAUUUACGUUAGUAUAUCCGUUUAUUCUAAAUGCUUGAAUUGGGCGAACUAUGCAUAUGGUCCUCUAUGUUUCAGAUUUUGAUCACAUUGACCAUUGUACCACAAUUUUGGGUAUUGCCAACCCUCAGCAAUUCCAAUUUGUGAUCACACACGGUCCUCGUGUGCAAUCAUGCAACUAGAUUGCUGCCGUAUACAAAACUCUUAAUAAUAUAACUAGCAAGUUGAUUGCGUGCUAUACCGGAAAAUAAUCAUAGUUUUAUAUUUUUAAAACUUGAACAGGCUGAAAGGUUAAUUCGGGAUAUGAUUAACUUGGAGCUGGAACUAGAUUGAUUUUGUGAAAAAAUAAAGGUAGUUAAAAACUUGAUUGACUCGAUAGACCCAGUCAAAAAUCCGUCUAUAAUCUAUUGACUAUUUUCUUAUUUUUUUCAUAACGACGUUGUUUUGAUUUGUAAAAAAAAAAAGUUGUGGUUAACUCGAGUGAUUCGUCAAAACCCGUGACCCGACUCUUGAGCCAAGUCGAUCACCAGGCUAAGUUUAAAAUACUAUGGAAAACAUUUCAAUAGUGAUUUAAAUGUCCUGCUUAUUUUUGUUGUUUCAAAUUAUUAUUUUUUAGGUGUUUUCAGAUCAUUUUACUAUGUUGAUGUCAAAAAUAAUUUUUUAAAAAAUAAAAAAAUAUAUUAUUUUAAUGUAUUUUCAAGUGAAAAAUAUUUUAAAAAACAACUGUUAUCACACUAUCAAACACCCCUUAAAUUUAGCCAAGCUUUACAUGUUAAUAUGGUAAUCGUUUAUAUAGUAAGAGCUGAUUUAGUUUACCCAACCAACCUAGCAGUUGCAAUCAGAACUCGAUAAACGAAAGUUUAGUUUGACUGUUUUAAAAAUUUAAAAACAACAUUAAUUUAAUGGUUUUUAUAAAAUAAAAUAUAUAUUAAAAAAAUGAUAUUCUAAAUUAAAAAAAACUAAAUAAAAAUGAGAAGAAGAUUGAGUUAUUGAAGGGUGGAAUAAAAAAAUAUUUAAUUGAAAAAGAGAUACAAAAAAAUUAACUCAAUUAACCUAGGUCAAUUUAUCAAACCCGUGACCCGAGUCAUGAGAUUUAAAUAAAAAAAAUUAUGAAGUCUAAUUCUCAAUCAAUUCAAUAUUAAAAGAUGAAAUCGAAGAUAAAAAAUCAAAUAGAAAAGGUGGUAAAAAAAUAAACCUUAUUCAAUCCAAAUUAACUUGUUAAACUCAAGAUCUAUUCUAUAAGAUAAAGAUAAAUUCAUAAAAAACAAAUGGAAAAAAAUUAUGAAUCUCCACUUUCAACAAAUUUAAUGUUGAAGAUUGAAAUUGAGAAGAAAAAAACCUAAAUUCGUGAGACCAAUAUAUAACUCAAUAAAAAAAAAUAUAAAAUAUAAUUUUUAAAAUAAUAUAAUAGUGAAGUAUUAAAUUGAAAAAAAACUAAUAAAAAAGAUUGAGUUAUUGAAUAAUAAAAUUAUAUAUAUAUAUAUAUAUAUAUAUAUAUAUAUAUAUAUAUAUAAAUACUCAGUACGUGGCGUUGUUAUACCUGAGAAUGAUCUAAAAAAUCGGGUCACAGGUUUCCAGCCUAUAUAUUGAUUUUUUGAAAAGAUCAAAGAAAUAAUAUAAAUAGAUUUCUGAUGCGAAUGAACAAUGCAAGACCAACAAUGUUAAGAUCUUUGAUCAAAUACAGAGCAUACUUAAUGUACAUAAAAUUUAACAAGAAUGUAAAUAAUGAAAAUAAAAUCUUAAUAAUAAAAAUAAAAUCUUACUUAAAUUUGUAAAUUAACACAAGAGAUAUUGGGUACAAAGGAGAAUUGAUAUGGUUCCAGGUUAUUAUUUAUAUAUAUAUAUAUAUAUAUAUAUAUAUAUAUAUAUAUAUAUAUAUAUAUAAUGUUUUGUAAAGGUAUACAAUGAUUUAGCAAGUAUUUGUUAAAUAUCAUUUGUGUAGAUCCUCCGACAAAAGAGGAACACGUGGAAGUUAAAUGAAAAGGAAAAUGAAAGAAACCUCAAUAUAGUCCCUAAGCUAUAUAUCGGGUUUUGAUUGAGUCCUAAAGAAAACGAUUUUAUCAAUUGAAUCCCUAAUGUUUUAGAAACUUGGGUAAAAAAAACAAAAAGAAAAUAAAAAAACAAAUUCCAAUUUAACGGACUGCAAGUCUGUAACCGUUUCCUGUCAUCCCAGCUUAUUAGGUUUUCUCGCAACCUCAAAACACAACCGCCACCGUCAUCUCCUCCACCUGCGGCUGCACACGGUGCUAAAGAUUCUCAAGCCCUCUCUCACAUGGAUAACAGACAAGACAUUUUGGGGAAUAACAAUCCCGAAGUCAUACGCUGGCUCUGUAGCCUAUCGGCAUCUGAGCUUGUAAGUUAAACAUGAGUUUUCUCUUCUAUUUCCUUCUUCUUCUUCUUCUUCUUCUUCUUCUUCUUCUUCUUCUUCUUAUGAUUCUUGAUGAACUAAAUAGUUUAUUUUUUAAAUUUGUGUUUGAAGGAUAUGCUAAUUAGGUUAAAAUCACUAAUUCUCCAUCGCGCCAAAGUACUCGGUCAUGAUGAACUCGCCAAGAAUUUCGAUUUGCCCACGCUUCGAGCCAUCGGUAUCUUUUUCUGUUCUGCCCCCCUCUUUAAUUGUCAUUUAAUUCUUAACGAUUGUAAAUAGAUAUGGAGUUAGAGUGAACUGUUGAAACUUUUAAUUCGGAGUCUGUUCCUCGUCAUAUAUAUAUAUGCCUGUUGUUAUUGUUGCAUUUCAAUCGUGUGUGUAAUACAUGCAUUGCUCGUAUUUGUCUCGUAUUAGGCUGUCCUUUUUUUCUCUCCUUAUUGAAAUUGGAUUGAUUUGGUCUCCAGGAUUCUUCAUAUUAGGGUUUGUACUCUUUUUGACUUGUUCUUUAUGGUGAAUGACAUUGAAACUGUAGUAAAGUAUUGUAAGAUUAAUUUGGUAGCCACAUUAUUAUCUUAUGCGGAAUUUGCUUUUGCAGUGAUAUACCAAACCCAAAUAUGACCUAUACUGCAUGCUCUAAAUCGUGGGUUGUAGUUGAGAAUCCACUGAGUCUUCUAGCCCUUUAAGGAUCAUAGAGUGCGUGUCUCUGUAAGCUUGUGACUGCAAACAUGAUGUCCAGAUUCCAAUAAAAAUUUGAUCUCUCUGCUUUAUUUUAGGUGUUUGAUAUGAUUAAGAAUGAAGGGUAAUUGAGCAUGAUAAAAAAUGGUCAUUGUGUGGAGCAGUGAUAAAUUUUUCAGGCUGCCAAGCAACUGCACGGUUCAAAUCCUGAAACUGUAAUUGUGGCAUGCUCUUGAUCAUUUGUUUGAAUCCUUCUUUGGCAGCUCCAACAAUAAAAGAUGUCCUUACAUGUGGAAUAUUAUAACAGAAUGUCUGCAUCCUUUCACUGGUUGAAUGUAUCUUCCUUCCUUGUAGAAUUGAAUUAAUUCUGUGAAGUUCUCAACUUUUGUAGUGGCUAAGAAAGUCUUGUAUUUUCUCUGAGCUAUAUCCAGGGCUCCUUUUGAUGGAAUAUCUGAAAGGAAAGCUUAAAGAUUUAUCACAAGUUCAAGGCUUGACUAAGCUUGUUGUAUUCCCUGAGUGUUGCAAUCUAUUAAAAGGUAAUCCUGGGGAAGAUUCCAGCAUGGAAGAGCUGAAGGCUUGUAUUGGUAUUGAUGAAAGAAAGAGACCAACCGAAAGGUAUGAAGAAUCUCAGAGUGCAGUUGUUAAUGAAUUCUGUUAAGUUAUGAUAUAUAUAUUUUUUAUGGGUGUUUGGACCUUACUGAUAAUUCUAGAAUUACUGUUAAUUAAUUAAUUUCCCUACCUUCAUUGGCAAGCUAGUGAUGCAUAAAGAAAACAACUUAUGAUUUUGUGCGAGAUAUUAUCGUUCUAGAUGUAGUAUCUGAUAUUUGUUGAAGUAUUGAUGUUCUUUCUGUCUUUCUUGAUGCCUUUUUCCCUGCCACAGCAAGAACUUGCAUCCAAAACUACAUCUAAUGACUGAUCAGCAUCUGGUUCAAUUUGGUACUCUGCUCAUUAGCUUAGAGACAAUGCUUGAGGAGUUAUGUACUCACUGAGAGCUAUUCUCGUUUUUUAUUUCUGCUUUGUGAACUGAUAUUGGUUCCAGCUGAUUUGAAGUUAAAAUUAGAAGUGAAGUUUGCAUUUCUUUGGCAAACUAUGGUUUUUUUGCAGCCCUGUUAUCACUUCCUUUACAACCAAAUUCUACAUCCUUGAAAACAUAUCCAACCACGACCAUACAAGCUAUUGUCACUUAAUGUUUCUAGAUUGCAAAAUCCAUCCUGGGCAAGGAUUAGUUUCCUGCUUGUUGAAUGUGUGAAAAGGGCUUUCUGGAUACCAGUUUGAAUAAUUGGUGAACUGAUUGCUUGCUCGUUCCUUGCUGUAAUUUGUUGUUAUUAACUCAAUGGCAGGAAUAAUGCUCUACUGUCUGCUCGUCAUUUCUGAUACAUCUACUAAUCUCCCAGUCAAUCCAUUUGUUUGUAGACCAGGUGAAGAGGCAACCAAACAGAAGAAACAGAGAUUAUGACUUUGUGUCAGCCUAUUGAAGGCAAUCACAGUUGGCAAACUGCACUUAACCAAUUUCUCAGAGGAAGGCAGCCGUUUUUACUGAGGCCGGCUUCAAAGAUGUAAAACUGUAUCAUAUUUUUUGCCACAAGCUAGUCUUCCUACCCUCCGGUUUGGAGCCUGUAUGCAAACUUGGAAAUAUCUAUACCUAAAGCAGUCAAAAGAGUCAUAUGUAUUUCCUAGAGAUUGUUGUUUAUUGAUAUGUUGAUCAGCCCAAUUUUGAAAUCCAAUCUUCUACCUGCUUCUUGUUUUCAAGCCAAAAUACUUAAUUUACAAGUCAUUUGUCCGAGAUUCCUGGCGCAACGAAGCUUUUCACGUACCGUUGAUCCAAGAUGUGAUUCUAUUGGAUUAUAAGCCCACAUUUAGACAAGUAAAGAACAUUUGGCUGAAAGCGAACACAAAACACAACAGAAAUGCCAAGUAACCAGGGAAGUCCUGAACUAGCUCAAAGCUGCUGGCUUCUACAGGGGAAGCCAAUAGGGGUCCAAGGGGAAGAGUUUUGCGUUUUAAGCAUGCUGUACAAGUAUAAAUGAACAUGCAUUCCAUUCUUGAGCUGAAAAUUCAUGAUGGGAUUCAUGGGAUUCUUGGGGUGGGAGGGGACAGGGGUGGGGAUGUGAUGGAAGAAACCACUGAAAUAGAUCAAACAGCCUUUUUGAGGAUGCGGGCUUUAGUCAUUUCCUCACUCCUCCUGCUGUGGCCACAGCAUGAUUUUCAUGGCGGUCGUGCUUGUUUCUUUGUACCAACAAACGCAUGGCAAUAAGGGGCCAUGGGGACCCUCUUGUUCUUUAAAGAUCUUGAAAGGAGAUGUCCAUUUCCCCUUUCACGUACAGCACAGUUUCUUAUUUUUAUUUUUUUCAAUGUCUAAUAAAUAAAUGAUUAAAAAAGGCUUUUAUGGUCUCAAGUGCACUUCACACAUGUCAUUUAUUACACAACAAGCCUUAUUUGAUAUCCUGAUUCCUAACCCAAUAGAUCGCUUCACCUGAAAAGCAGUUCUUAGUUAAGAAACUAUUUCCUAACGCAAUUCAACAUGCUUUGCUUCAACGAGUUAAAGAUAGUGGAGAGCCUCUCUUGUGGAGUCUCCAUAUGGAAGAGAGUGAGUCCACUGUCCACUAAAGCCAGUAGAAAAAAUUAAUUUCUUCCCACCAAAGUCAAAACUCUCCAUGCCCUUUAUCAAAAUAACCCCCAUGCUUUGCAACCUCCAAAAAGAAGAUCAUAAAUAUGUGCCAUUCAAAAAAGGUAGGUUUAGGGCCAAAAGAAAUGAUUAAAGAUACACCACAUUGUCCCCCUUCACCAUCCGAAUCAUAUACCACUUCUUUUCUUUUCUUUUCCUCGUCGAUUAUCCCACAACUUACACCCACAAGCUUCCAUUUAUACGGAGAAAAUAACAGAGCAGGUAGAAAAUAACAGAGCUCUUGAAACAGCUGCAAUGGCUUGAAUAAAAUUCAUAAAAAAUUGGUGUUAUUCGAUACCAGGAUAAAAAAAAACAAGUGGUCAUGAUGCUACUCAUGGACAAUUAAUGGGUUAAAAAGUGAGGUCUACAAGGCAUGCGAGAGCGAAUCUUAUCGUAUCGUAACCUUGUUCAAGAUUAUAACAUGGUGUCGAUUUAAAAAUGAAUAAACACACACACUAAUCACUUUUAAUUAGUGGAUAAUGGUCAUUGAACCUAAAGAAGAUUAAGUUGCUUAAGCAUCAAGGUACUCAGUCCCAAUGAUGUUAUCCUCCCAUAAGACUUUAUCCCCUCCAUGAGAUCACCUAAAUCAAGAAGAUGUCAAUUUUCUCAGAUGGUAAAGCAAUUCCACCAAUGAAGCUUAAUUUCUGCUUUUGAAAAGUAUUCUUAAUUCGUAUUAUUGAUCAACAAACAUGGCCUUGUGACUUUGGAUUAAUUGCUAGAGGGAGGUGCUUUUAUUAAUAACAUAUAUUUCCAAGGUCAAUGUCAUUACAUCAUAUCUGUGAUUUUGUUCAUGCCAAGCUCCAGGCAGAAUCUUACAAUUCAAAUCAAUCAAGGGAAAAUCUUGGUGACAAUACUUCACUAUUAUUUCUUUCUUUUAAUAAGAAGAAAAGGGGCAAUAAGAUCACAUCUCGCUCAUACUAUAUUUCGAGAGAAAAGAGUGAAGAAUCACUGAUUAGAUUUGCAUCAACAGCAAUACUGUUGACUGCUCUAUUAUUAGUAAUUUUGUGCCGGCAAUGGAAUCGGCUCUAUGAUUCUAUGUUAUUGUAGAUGUGAAAUUGAUUUUACAGUAACAAUUAUUAUACUAGGCCUGUCAUGAUCAUCCUUAUCCUCGAAGACAGAAGGCAAGAACAUGCCAACAUAACUUUUUAUCUGUCUGUUUCAUUUUUCUAACAUUUCUAUUUUAUAUUUCUCCAUGUUCAAUUUUUGUUACCUCGGUAUGGAUGACAAUGAAUGACCUCCUUCUUCGUCUCCGAGUUAUAUAUAUAUAUAUAUAUAUAUAUAUAUAUAUAUAUAUAUAUAGACACACACAAACACACGGCUUAAUAUUUAUAGAGCUAGAUAGAGAACGGCAACCCAAAGCACACAACCUCUAGUUCAUAGUGUUAUAGUUUAUUAAUCCCAAUGACACUAAUCAUGUGCAGCUGUUUCAGUAAUCCAAGUCUGUCUAUCAUUUGACCAAGAGAAGAGAAAUUGUUAUGUAUACGUACCGAUUCAUGUUGAUCAAACCAAUUAUAUUACAAUAUUAUUAAAUAUACGAGAGUGCACUGCAACAUCCAGUUAUAAAUCAUUUUAGUUCAUGCUAGAUAUGUUGCUUGUCCGUCGGGCUGAAUAAUCUUCUUUUUAAUAUAACAAAAUGAUAGAUUAAAAAAAGUAAUAGGUAAUGAAAUUCAUUUAUAAAAACCAAGUAAAUCUAAAUAAACAUCCUAAAUAUAACUAUCUCAAAAAACUCGCAACGUAUAAAAUCCUGAAUCCGAGUCUCAUCAAAAAGUUUAUUACAAGCUAAUUUAAAAAUAUAAAUUUUAAAAACUUAUCAAGAAAAAAUAAUAAUAAAAAAAGCCUUUAGCGAAUUCAACAAUUAAUCCAGGUGAACAAAUCAAACACACAACCUAGAACAUAAAAUUAAAAUGAUACUAUAAAUAAAAAAGCAAAACAAAUAAAAGAAAAUACUAUAAAAAAAAAAAUGGAAAUCAGCCUAAGCUAAUCCUUUAAUAUGUUAUCCCGAAGCAAAGGCUACAAAUAAAAUGACAAGAGUCAAAAUAGUACUUAAAUUAUUAUAAUAAAUAGUAAUAUAUGUCUUGGGACGUAAUAAUAUUCAUAGGAGGAUUAGUGUUUUGGAUAAUGAACCGGUUUGGUACAAAACGGUGAAAACUCACCACAGGAAUAUUCACCGGUAAAAUCACUGUAAUGCAUGGACAAACAGUUGAAAUUUCUAGGUUGUUGGGCACCGCCGGAGCAUAGUUAUAGCUCAUUAUAACACUUGAUACCAUGUUCCGAAACCUUAGUUUAUGAACAGAUUGACAGAAACGGAAUCGUAUAGUUAACCUACUCAUAGCAUUUUCUUGAACAGAUGCAGCCGUUAAUGUCACUCUAGCUAGAUUUAGAUCUUAAAUUUACCUAGCUAGGUCCUAGCUAGACCAUAUGAUUUUGACAUAAUUUAGGUGAAGAAAAUUUGAAAUUUUUAAUAGGGUUGUAAAUAUUAACUUAGUUUUGACCUCUAAAUUAAUUUUAACCUGUCAAUUUCUCCCAAGGUUUCAAGAAAAAGCGAGGCUUCAACUAUCAUUGACCAAUUCAUAUGGGUGUUAUGACUCUUGUAAAUGUUAGAAUUUAACGAUGAAGUGUUAGUAUAAUAAUUAGAAGACAUACUCUUUAAUCAUUAGAGUUUAAAUAUAAGAGUGGUCCUUAAAAGGUAACAUUUUUUCACUGAUUCUUUAAUUUUAGUGCUGAUGGAUUGCCUUUAAUCGAUCUGAAUAGAUAAAGUUUAAUUUGGAGUCUAUAAGAAAUCUCGCCACUUCACUAGAAAAUGAAAAAAGACUAUGAACUGGCCACUUGCCCUUAAUUAUCUAGCACAUGUAACAUCCAAGAGGGGUUAGGUAAGAAUUAUAAAAAGUAAUUCAAUUAGUUAGAUUUUAAAUUUAUUUUUAAUAAUUACAAGUUUAAUAGUUCUUGUAGGCUUAUAUGAUCGUUAAUUUCAAAGCCUAUAAAAUUAAUUGAGGUACACGUAAGAUAUCCGGAUAUUAAUAUUAAUAAAAAAAAAGUGUUAGGGAAGGCUUUGGUUGGAUUAAUUAAAUCAUUAAUUAAUUAAACUCGCCAUGUCUUAGCAUGGAUUUAAUAAGAUACUGGCUUUGGAGUUAGGGUAAAAUUAAGAAUAUUCCGACAAUCAAGAAACUCAAUAGUUCUUUUCGAUACAGAUCCUAAACCCUAAUAAGAGCUAUUACCCUCUCGUUUCAUAUCAUGCAGUGCUUGUUGGACUAGCAGCCCGACAUGAACACAUAAAAAGGAAGUUUGAAAAUUUCGUAGCUCUGAGAAGUUUUUCACUCAUGUUACACGAUGAUCAUACACUAUAGAAUAGGGUUUUUUUUUCUCACGACAUGCUGUAUAAUAACGUGCUGUAAUUAUACUAUUUUGUUUCCAUGAGAGACUUUAAGCAUCCUUCAGCUGGCUUUUUUUUUUCCUUAACAAAGAACAUGCUAGCCUAGUAUAGUCCUCGAUCUUGCAGCUUUGUUAGGUGGGCCAGUCUAUUUGUUUUUGCUUGAAAUGGCGAUUGCAUGUUCCCACCUCUGUGGAGAGACCUUGUUUACGUAUUUUGUUUUUGAUGGAGAUAAUUCUAGCUUUUUUUAUAUAGAUUUGGCGAGUAAUUAUAGCAGUUUUCUCAUUUUUUUUCAUGGGAAACUAUAUUCGUUUUCUUAUGAUUAAAUAUAACCUCGCCACGAUAUGAUUUGUGAAAAAAAAUACGAUAUAAAUUAAUUAGAAUUUGAUAAUAAAGUAUUUAUCUAUUCACAUAUCAGUUUUGAUAAUAUUGUUAAUAUUUAGAAGUUAAUUUAUAUGGGAAUUAUAUACAUCGGUGAAAGGGGUUUCGGAAAAGGAAAAGAAAAGGCACCAUUUCUUCCAUGUCGGGGACCCUCUUUGCUUUGAAUUUCAUGGCUUUUAUUGUUUCUAAAAAAUUGAAAUUCUUGUUGCCGCCUCUCCUUUUCUUUAUACCAACCGAAAGAGAUUCUCUCUUUUCCCCUUCCAACGGUAGAAAGGAUGUCCCUGUAUGGGUUGACUAAAUGACUAUGCAUCAAGGUACCAUACCUAUUGGACAUCAUCACCAUUAUGCAAUACUUGCAUUUUGUUGACCAAAAAAACACCUACUUGAGUUGUCUCUAAACGGCGGGUUGUAGAUUUAUUCUUCCAUGAUAGAAUAAUUGCUUCACCUAAUUCACCUGCCUAGGUGAAUUGAUUUUUUUUUUUUUUUUUUUUGUUCUUGCAAAGGAUGCCGAGGAGAGCAAUUGUUCUAUCAUCCAAUUGCAUUCUUGGAUGGUGAGAGUUAGUGGACUUAGAUUAAUGAUGUUUUAAGACAUGGCCUUGAAAUUAUACAAGACAAUUGAACAAUGGGUUAUAAAGUAACACUGUCGGGUAAUAAAGUGAUUCCAUGUUUUUUUGACAUCGACCAAUUAAUUAGUUCUUGUGAACUUUAUGUUUUUUCUCUUCUUUAAAUUAAUCUCUCUUUGUCACGGCUACCUAGCCUCUGGGUUCGCUAUACUUUGGGCUAAAUUUGCAUUUCAAAAUCUUGACGACGAGCUUGAUAUGUUUUGCUCUAAGAUAAAAGGAAUGGUGGUUAUAAAUAUGGGGCUUUUAAAUUAUAAAAUUUUAAAUUAAAAAGCUAAACUUCAUAUAUUAUAAAUAAUUAUAUAAAUUAUAUAAAUAAUUACAUAAAUUAUAUUUUAAAGUUUUACCUAACAAUUUAACCUUUUGAGUUGAGAUGGAUUUUUAAUAUUAUAUUAAAACCGUGUUGACCAAACGGUAAUGAAUUUAAAUUUUAUUAUUUUUAUUUUAUUUGAUAAAAAUAAGUAUUAGGUAAUGUAGAUAUAUUUAAAUUUUAAGUUUUUGAGUUGAGAUAAUUUUUUAAUAUUUAUUAUUAUUAUUAUUAUUAUUGAUCGGUGAUGUAUCCCGAAAAGAAAAGGAGCUUAUUCCAGACAAAGCAAACCCUGCCAUAUUAGCUAGCAGUAAAGAGGUGGACUGUUGGAAGAACGAAUUCCAAUGCUCUAGCCAUGAUCAUUAAUUAGCAAGCUAAUCCAUACAUCUAUUAUCUUUAUGAUCGAGUGAGAAGCUAUCUAAUUUUUCUGUAUGAUGCGCUUCCUCGUUAAUAAUUAGAAUUUAAAUCUUAGGUAAGAGUAUAAUAAGUAAUGCUUUUACGAAUUUUUUAAUUCGGACACAAAUAUUCUAGGGAUCGCAAUAAUUAAGCCGUUGCGUUUUUGGUUUAAAGUAAAGGAUGUAGUAAUUUGUUUUAAAAGUAAAAUAAUUUCUUUCAAGAAAGAUAUACGUUUCAGUUUCAAAACAAAGCAAUUAUCAAUUAAACACAAUCUUUAGACCAAAACAACUAAAAUCAAUGCACUUUAAAAACAGAAUGAUAUCAAAAAGGCAUAAAAUUCAUUAUAUUACUAUAAAAAUAAUAUAAAUUAUAUUUUAAAACUUUAUUUAAAGUUUAAAUUUUAAAGUUUUAACAUGGUAUCAGAACCUUAAUUAUUAAGCAAUUAUAAGUUUAAAUUUCAUUAUUUUUAUUUAUUUUAUAAAAGAUAAGCACAAUAUAAUAUGUAUUUAUACAAGUUUCAAGUUUAAAUAAUUUUAAUUUAUAAAAUAUAUUAAAAAAUAAUAUAAAUUAUAUCUUAUAAUUUUAUCUAAAAAUUUAAAUUUUUAACUUGAAACGGUAAAAUUAGCUAGUGCGCGUGAGUAAAUUAUAUAUAAAAAUCCAAAUAAGGCAGUAGAGUUUAUACAAUUUCAGCAGGGAGAAAGGUAAAAUUCAUUAAAUUUCUUCACAUAGGUAACCUCGAUUGACUUUAGCAGCCAGCCGUCACCUGUAGAUUGGUUUACUGAUCUUGGUUGUGUGAAAACAAUCAUAUCAAAUCCUAAUGAUCACGUCCAUUGAGAUCAUAAUAUUGGAGACAACAUGAGUUAGUUAGGAAAUUAUGAAAAUCCUGUCAAGAAACAAGCAACCAUCUACAUUUGGAAAUGCAAGACCGUUUACUGCUUUCCAGCACUUCAUUAAAAAAAGAACCACCUUGGAUUAAUCAAAUUCAUUAAUCCUCUGGUAGCCAGAGCUGGACCCAUGAAUCUAAUGAACACAGAUCCCUCCCAUGGCGGGGAGCUUGAAAAUAUAUACAUCCAAUUAAGAUCUUUCAUCACCUCUUCAAAAAUAUAUCGAUGAAAUUGGGUGUUUUUCAAAGAUUAUUUCAUGGCUGAAUAAUGGAUAAAUAAGCAAGUAAAUGGAGGAGGGAAUAAUGCUUGGAAAGGCUAAUUAAGCAAUACAAGUAGUAGAAAAUAUGUAGUAUACAGCGUGUAAGAAAGUCGUACCCCAUCUCACAGACCUUAAAUCCCAAACUUGUUUGUAUAAUUGCAUGUAUGUUCUGUCUUGAUGUGGAUAGGAUAUCGUUGUGUCAACAUUUUAGCACCAUGCUCAUGUUCUUUUAGGUAAAAAUAACUUUUAGAUUUAAAAUAAACGCAUUAUUCGUAUCUGUGAUUGGUGAAGAUUAGGUUGGGCUCUUCGAGUUUUGAUUGGACACGUCUAUCUAUGCAUACACUUGGAUGCUUUCUUGGCUCUGUCUUCAAAUAAGACAUAAUCGUCCAAGCUUAUCUUGAGCAUGUUAUUUGUGUAUAUAUAUAUAUAUAUAUAUAUAUAUAUAUAUAUAUAUGAAGACCGAUUCCAUGUAGAGGAGCCUUGGUGGGAGCUGAUAGGCGCACAAUAAUACACAUGUAACCCGAGUAACUCACGUAUCUACCAGUCGGUUUUUGUCUCCUGAAUUGAUUUCAGUAACAAUCAAUAUUAUUUUUUAAUAUUAGUUUAUUUGGAAGUGUUUUCAUGGUUGUUUUUAAAAUAUUUUUUAUUUAAAAAUAUAUUAAAAUAAUAUUUUUACAUUGGAUUUUUUUUUUCAUUCAAUAUAAUGGAAGAUUUUAAAAAAGAAAUGUCUCGUGUGUGCAGUGUGUCAGUUAUUUUUUCCAAUAAGAUUAUCUAAUAAUGUUCAGUUUCUUCUUGUGUAAUUAUCCAACCGUCAGCUUUUAAGAAAGAAAAAUCUAAUUGAAGAGACCUCUAUGUUUGAGAAAAAAAAUUACAGCCAUUGAAGAGCUGUCGCAAAUCUGCAUAUUAAUUUCAUAUGAAUUCAUGGAAUAACUAGUAACAUUGUAUUAGUUAUUUCUUGAACUUACAUUAAAAAAAAAUUACAAAGAGGAAAAAAAAAAAAAGAAACUCAUGACCCACCAAGAAUAACAAGAAUAUCUCCAUUUAAAAUAUUUUUUUAAUUGAAUCUAUUUUUAAAAAAAUUAAAAUUUUAAAAAGUAAAUAAUAAAAUGCUAUUAAUAAUACUAUCAUUUACUUUCUAAACACUGUAAAAUUACUUGUUUUCGUCAAAAUAACAGAGCAACAAACGUAGGAGUGCCUGGUGAUCUUUAUGUAAAGCAAUAAAAGUAAACACGGUUUUUGUAUUCCGAAGACGUUUUGCAAAAUUAUCAACUAUGUUUUUAGGGUUAGUGGGAGAUGUAAUUAGUGUGUUCUUGAAGCAUAUUCAUUGACCAAAUGCUAGGAAACCCCACAGUUGACUAAUAUACAAUUAUUGUAUCCAUUAACUUAAAAGAUUUUGCCAUUGAGAGCUUCAUUAUGAGUUAGUUUAACGGGGGCCACCUAAGAUUGAUUUACCCACCAUAUAUGGUUAUUUUUAUAAAAAAAUGGAUUUAAUUGGACCAUUUUGAUGUUUUUAAUCUCUUUCUUGUCAUUGUAAAAGGACAUGAAAUUUGCAUGCGCUCGCUAAAGCUAAAGUAAGUUCUUCAUUUAAUUAAUCAUAUAUUGAUCUGCAAGAGUUUAGUAAUCAUUGCUUUAAAUUCUCAAUUUACUUAAUAGACAACAGUUUUCUCUUUAAUGAUAUCGCUGCAUUUUGGGCUACACUUACUAAUAUUCAUUUUUGGUUAACAAUAUAAUGCAUCGAAUUAUAUAUCGUCCUAAGCUAAAUUAAUCUAGUUGUCAAAUCAACCUGAGAAGCGACCCUUUUCUCCCUUUUUUUAUCUUCAUUUUUCUCUUCAUCAAACAACACAACCCCUCUUCUUUUAUCACAAAUCAACCUCUCACUAUAAAUUUUGUUGUCCCAACACUCAAUUUGUAGCAUCCAUGUUCUAAUUCAAAUUUUAUUAAGGAUUCUCCACUUCAAGUAAGCAAAACUAUCAAAAUUGUUUACUUGAACUCAAUUUUAAAAUAUUAAUUUUUAUUACAUAUUUUUGUAGUAUAUACAUUUUAUUAGGGUGUUUACUUAUUUUAUAGGUUUUCUCCAUAAAAAUUUAUUGUAUGAAUGUAUGAUUUUCUGAUUUUUUUUUCCAAGAUACAUAUAACACUCGGUUGAAGAAGAGAUACGGUGACGAUCCUUCGAUCCAUCCAAAUCUUGAUUCAAAUUUGUGGUUAGGGGCUAUCAUCCGGUAAACUCGAUAGAAAUUAUAUGUAUGGUCUCUCUAACACUAUGACCGAAGACUUGCGAAUGACCAUAAUAUUUCAACCAUUGGAUGCUCACAAUUGGUUUCGAGCACUCAAGCUUUAAAGUUCAAGGCGAUUUUACACUAAUAAAUUCAAGCUCGGACGACCCAUUUUGCUGCUGAUUAUGAACAACUCAAUGCUGAGAUGGUUGAACUCCACCAAUUAGUAAUAAAAAUGAAUCAUAUAUGGGUGGUACAUAUAAUCCCUCUUAUUCGUCCUACGGUCCUAGCAAAGACUUGUCUCCUCCUCCUCCUCCUCCUUCAGCACCUUUAUUUUAGAUUAAUUAUAUUGAAUAGAUAAAUAUUUAAAUUUGUAAUAAAUAUUUGAUGUUUAUAUUAAUUUAGUUUAUUUUUAUUUUUGUUAAUAUAUUUUUUUGAAAAAAAAUAUUUUUAAAUUAUUACUGACGGGGUUACCGAUAGACUUUGUCCAUUGAUAUAUUCUAUAUAGUUGGAAACAAAUUAAUGCAAAUAUCAUUACCACUAUCUACUCACCGACUGAAAUAGACAAUUUAUUUGACGAUUAUAUGUCAAAUUCAUCAAAAGAAAUACUGAUGGGAAAAAAAUUUCACCCGAUGGAAUGACAUAUAGUUUUUCUGUUGGUGAUAUAUUAUAUUCAUUAAUGAAAAUAUUGAUGAAAUGAACCAGGUAAAAAAAAAAUUAGAGCGCUUUAGCCAUUAGUAAAUCCAUCUGUAAAAUUAUCAUUGACAGACCACAAAUUACCAAUAAGAGUUUUUCCAAUGGAUUAUUUUUAUCUGUAAGCCCAUCGAUAAAUUUUAUACUGACAAAUUAUGAAUAUAGAUACUGACAAAAAAUUCCAUUGAUAAAUCUUAAAAUUCUGGUAAUGGUUGUAUUGAUCAAAUUGACACGUCUACUUUCUAAAUAUGCUACUAACUUAAUGCAUGUUUGGGAGUGUGAUUACGGUUGUUUUUCAAAGUGUUUUUAUGCCUAAAUACAUUAAAAUUAUGUUUUUUAUUCUUUUUAAAAUAACUUUUUAGAUCAGCACAUCAAAACGAUUCAAAACAUAUAAAAAAAUUACUUUUCUAAACACUGAGUUGUUAAAUUUGAUUCAUGCAAUGUCAUUACUUGGAUAAAGAGAGACAAUAAAAUAUGGUUAUGACACUUACAAGGUGAAUCCAACGCAUGCAAUAUUCUUUCUUUUAUGAUUUUUGAAAAUAAUAAUAAUUAGUUUUAUCUUGUGAUAUGACGGUAUAAUUUAACUUUUUGAAUUCUAUUAUAAUAUUAUUUUUCAUUCCCUCCAUAUAUACAUACUAAAUGUUUUUUGUUGGUUUUAGUAAUGAAUAUAUGGAUGGAAAAUUAUGUUGGUAAAGGUUAUUACAAUAUAUUGACAGAACUUUUUCAUCAAUAUUUUUUCAUAUAUAUUUAUCAAUUUUAUGAUAAUAGAUGAAAGUGGAAGUUUGAUUUUGUGGGUUUUUUAAGAUCACUGUCAAAUGAUUUUAUGGACUAUUUGAUAAUUGGCACCGACAAGUAAAGUGAACGCUAACUUUAACUGGGAUAUAUAUCCAAGGGUCAUUAAAACCUCUUAGGAUCGAGCAGCUUAGUGUUAGGUGCUAGAACUUGUGAUGAGACUUUGAGGUUUAUUGGGACCAAAAUGGUCUUCAUCAUGCAAAAAGAAAUUAAAAAAUAAAAUGGAGAAUAUGCUCAUACGAUGCUGUCAACCGAAAUCGUUCUUUAGUCAGUAUUUUUUUUUUUUUAGUCAGUAUUUUAGAGCUUGAAUUAAUGGUCCCUACGUACUGUAAAAUGACGCAUGAUGAGGAAAUUUCAUUUCUUUUGUUUUCUUCAACGAGCCUGGAGCAAAAAUGGGGUCAACUUCAGGAUCUAAUCUUGCCCUAACGUGCAAUGGUAUUUUGGUUGGCAAACCACGUGUAAUGGCUAGAGUGAAAGCAACGUUCUAACCAGUAGUCUCAUGCAAAGUGUCAAGAAGACAUCAAGACAAUCUCUCCAGCACAUGUCGGAAGAUUCAUUAUUUGAACAAGACUGGAAGGUUUAACCAGGAGAUAGAUGGAUCAACUUUGUUACAAUCUGCCGACUGUUUGAACGCAUGUGGGCAGUGGAAAAACACAUAGGGAUCACUCAAAUUUGACGAUAGUAACAUGAUUCUGGUUUGAUUUGGUUACAUAAAUUUGGAAACAUUUUUCUCUCGUAUCUAUUAUGGUUGCUUGUUAGUUUAUGUUAUAAAUCAUUAUACGCAAGAACCCAUGUUCUGAGACCAAUGGAAAGUUAGAACAGUUUUCAUUAAAAAAAAAAAAAAAAAAUUAGGACAGAGAUAUUAAUGUGAUUUCAUUGUGAACGAUACUGCUGGUUGACAAGAACAUCCUGGUAACGUCUAUAACUUUUCUUUUGUGAAUAUAAUGGGCAUUUGUUUUUUGGCCGUAUAUACUUUUCUCCUAAAAGAAGAAGAUGAAGGAAUAACAUAAAUAAGAAAUGACAAAUCCUUAAAGAUUUAGAGCGUGUUUGGCAGUGUGGUAGCGGUUGCUUUUCAAAUAGCUUUUCGUGCCGAAAUACAUGCAAAUGAUGUUUUUUCAUUUUUUAAAAAUCAUUUUUGAUAUCAGCACAUCAAAACGAUUCAAAAAGUACAACCGUAACUCAAUUUUAGCAAAAAAAAAAAAAAAAAAAUUUUGAAUUUUGUCAAAACGCCGGUUUGGCAGCAAUGCCAAACAGGCUCUUAAUCUCGUUAAUAAGUGGAUUUACUUUUUCAUUAUUAUUAUCAUGUAGGUUUCAUAUUCUAAAAAUGAUUGUAAAUUUUGAAACUGCCCUAACUUAUAUAAGAUCGAUUUGCCUACUUAAAAUAUAUGUUGAUUUUAUAUUAAAAGAAACUAAUUGUACUUGUAAAAAUAUUGUAGCUCCAUACUUAUGAAUACUAUAUAUUUACUAGCACAAUAUGAUGAUAUUUUUGUCUCUCCAUCCAAAAAAUCUAACACUUUUUAAAAAUUAAAAUUAGUGUCAUGAGAAAUUUUUAUAUUUUCACAAUAGUUUUUUCAUUAUUAAAAUAUUAGCUAAGGGGCAAUUUAGUAUUUGAUAAAAUAUAAAAAAAUAAUAAACAAUUAAAAAGCACUUUUAAACGACUGAAAUAUUCUUAAAAACAAAAAACCUAAACUUAGAGUUAAAGGGUUUUUCAUCUUUUCAGAAUGAUUUUUUGGAUAUUAUUAAGUCAACUUAAGGUAAUUUAGUAUUUGAAUAAAUAUAAGUAAAAAGCAAAAACAAAAAGGUAGGGCUUGUGAAUGUACUCCCCGGCACAUACGAUGCCUUCCCGCGGCAUCCAAAAAUGAUCUUUCAUAAUGUUAUUGAAAGCAUCAUCACGUCAUCUUCCUAUUGGAAUGACGCGUGUAUGCAGUGGUGAUCCAAUUUAUCACCUAUUAAUCUUUUUUUCCUUCUUUUUUCUCUCUCCUUCAUAAAUUAUAAUCUAGAAUUAUUAUAUAGUUGAAGAGAUUAAAUAAAAGAGGUUGAAAAGUCUUGAUUGGACAUCCAUAUGAGAUUGAAAAAGGAGCAAUUUUAAAUUAAGGACAAGUUCUUAUGGUGAAAUUGAUGCGUGAGAUUUUUUUCUAAUAUGCAGUUUUAUGUUAUUGUGUAUAACUCUUAAUCUAGUCAUUGGAUUGGACUAAGAUUUUGUUCAAAGAUUUUAAAGGUCCUAUUUCCUAUAAAUUUAAUUCUUCAUAACAAUCAAAUAUUAGAAAGGUCUCCUAAUAAGCAGUAGAAGUUAUUGUUUAGGAUUUGUAAUAUUUUUCCUAGUUUGUUUAGGAUUUUUUUUAUAUUUGGUUUGUUAUUUUAGAUUUGUUUAUGAAGUUUUUAUUGGUAUAGAUAUGGUUGUUUAGCUUGUAUUUUAAAUGAUUAAUUAAAUAAAAAAUAUUUAAUAAUAAAAUUUUAAAUUAGAGUUUUGUAUUAUUUCUUUUCUUUUCUUUGUGUUGCUUCGAUCUACGUCAUUUAUCCAUGUUACUUUUUGCUCUAUGUUUUUUUAUUAUCCUUUUUAUCCUAUCCUGACUCAAACUCAAAUUGUAUGCCAUUGCACGAUUUAUUUAUUUUUAAAAAACAAUAUAUAUUUGGAAUGUAAUCAGUAUAAUGUCCUAAAAAAUUGUUCACGUUAAAUAUUUCCUAGCUUGGAAAAAACCACCCCAUUUGAUCAACUUUUCUAACAAAAGUGCUUUCAAUCACUUUCUUCUUUUCUAUAUUUUGAUUUUUCAUUACAUUAUAAACUUUAUAAGAACAAUCAAGGUUUUUUCUUUUUAAUUAAUGCAAGACCAAUGAACAAGAUGCUUUUUAUUUUCCAAGUAAGUUCCUGUUUGGCACAAUAGUUGCUCCAUCAUUUCGUUUCAAAUUAAUUAAUCCAUUAAAAUAUAUUUUAAUAUAUUUCUAAAAAUAAAAUAAAAAACACUUUAAAAAUUAACUUUUAUCAUUCCUCCACUCCAUAAAUCAAUUCCAUCUCCCUUUUGUAUAAAUCCUAUAUGUUGACCAUAUCAAGUCAUCACAAUAGGCAGUGCACCUAGUCCAUUUUAAAUCAAGUUCUUUCUUUUAAUUAUUCCAUAAGUUCACACUAUUUUAUACUUCAUCCAAUGCUGCAUCACCCAAAUAUCAAAAAUAAAGGCGUGGAAUUUAAGAGCUAGAAUUCCAACACAUGCAUCGGAUCACCCACCAACUGGAAAAAAGAAAAAAAAAACAACAACCGGUAACCUACGCCACCAUUGUAUUACUUUAUUACACAGCUCGUGCUAGAACAAGGAUGGUAUUCCGACUUAUUUUUUUAGCAUGCCGAACUCUUGCAUGACUGAUACUAGUUUUUAGCCAAUAUAGCAAGAAAAAUAUGUGCCUUUUUUUUUUUUACCAUUGUCUUUGAAUGUAUUGAAUAAAUUAUUUAUCGAGAUAAAAUCAUUUAGUUCAAUAGCUUAAGUGGUGGUUGGAUUUAAUAAAAAAAAAAAAAAACUAGUUUUGAGCCUUGACUAGAUUUUUAAAACAUUUGGUCAGCUUUAGGUGCAGAGGCGGCGCGUCAGCUUGGAUUGAAGGGCCAUGGCUCCACAACUUUUCAAAAAUAAAAACCACUUUAGUUUCUUAAUUAUAUGCAUAAUAUCAUCUUAGUCCCCGAUAAAUUAUUACUAGAACUGUAAGAAAAUUUCAAAAUAUUUCAUAUCAUUCCUGAAGUUUAGCAACUUGUAUUAGUGUAUUCCCCACUUUCUAUAGAGUUUUGAAUUAUAUUUCUAAUUUUAAAAAAAAUAUAUGUUUAGUGCACGAAAACGCUACAAGGAAUUGAAGUUGACAUAAUUUUGUAUGACUAAACACAGCAGCAGGAAUUUUUUUGUCACUUAGUUAAUGAUCAAUUUGGCAAAACAAAAUUUAAUUUUAUUGAUUUAAAAUAAUUAGAGCCUCUGGAACCAAAAUUUGAAUCUUAAAGAAAUGGUCAAUCUUUUUUUUUUGGCAACAUCAAGGUCUGAUUUGCAUGGUUAAGGGGAACUUCAUGUAACUUUUUAAAUUUUGAUCCCUCAAUAUUUUUUUUUUAAUUUGAUCCCUUCACAUUGGUUUUAUUUGGAAUUUUGCUUGGUAGUUUAUUUUAGUUGUUUUUAUGCAUGGAUCUCGUAAUAUUGAGGGAUAUUUCUGGUGAUCGGUUGAAGCUCAUUUUUUGCAAAAUAAAACACCAUUCGACUUAUUUAGAACAAUUAGGUGUCAAUGGACAAGAAUUGAAACUAAAACAAAUAUGGGGACUUACAGUUAUGGACGGGUCAAGAUUGGUUGGUGAAUGCACUACUCAUGUCAUUAGGGGAGAGAAGUUGCAGGUUUCAUAAUUUUCUUCAAAUAUCUAGAGCAUGGUUUGUUAAGUUAGUCCGAAAAGUUUUUUUUCAUACAUUUAAUAUUUUUUUCAUUUCAACCUUCCAAUAUUGAAUUGGUUUUACCAUUAUGCUUUAUAAUUUUUCAUGUUUUGCCUUCUAUUGGGUUGCUAUAUUUACAUGUUCAGGUUCGAGGCAGGUUUGCUAAUUUAUUUUUAUUUAUAUAUAUAUAUAUAUAUAUAUUUAAUUUCAUCAUUUUAUAUUAGAUAUUUUAGAGAUUGUGAUUUGUUUUUUUUAUUUGUUUUUUAUUGGGUCAUUUCAACCUCGUGAUCUGAGUUGAAGAUUUGAUAUGCUAACUUAGAUUGAAAUCUAAAUAUUAUCAAUAUAUUUGUUUGAAUAUUUUUUACUUUUUUAAAACAUGCUUGCUAUAUUUGAUUAUUUUUCAUUAAAAAAAAUUAAUAUGGUCUACGGUACGGCGCAUAUACAUCAAUCAUAACAGUAAUACACUAGCGUGAAUAAACGUCUUCCUGAUAAAAAUUUAUAUUUUAUAGCAAUUUAAAAUCAAAUUUGCAAAUAGUAAUACACUGUAAUGGGUUUUUUUUUCCUUCAACUGUACUGAGUCUUCUUCUUCUUCUUUUUUUUUUUUUUUUUGUAAUUCUUGUAACUUUUUAAAGUUAAGAAAGUAAGAUGAGGUCUCCCGUACAUAGUCCAAAGGCCAAUAGUACUUUAAUGGGAAAAAAAGACGAAGAAAAAAAAAACCAUUGGCUAGCUGCAUCAUUGUGAUUCUUGAGUCUAUUCUCAAAUACGUGGAAGGGCCGACCAAAAGAACAUCAUUACACAUCUUUAACACAGCAAAAUCCCCAGCAAAAUCAUGCCUUCCUUAUUAUCAUUGAUCUAAUAUUUACGCUAUCAUUAAAUUGGUGCCUUAAAAUUUGGCACUAAAAGGCUUUAUUUUAAUUUUAAUUAGUGGUAAAUGGAUUUUUUUAUAUCUUUUAGGAUUUGAAUUCUUAAAAAAUAGAGAGAAAAUUAUAAAUACAUCAAUAGACUUAUAAUAGGUUAUAGAAUAUAGAUUUAAUAUUUAUGACUUUUUAAAAGUGUGGUAGAAAUUAUGUUUAGAGUGAUUUUUUGUUUAUAAAUAUAUUAAAAUAAUUUAUUUUUAACAUCAGUUUAUCAAAACAAUUUAAAUUUAUUUUAAAAAGUAGAUAAAAUAUUGAAUAAACGGCGUUUUCAUCAUCAAAAUUAAAGAUGAAUUAUUAAAAAAUUAAAGUAAUAAAAAAAAAGAUUGCGCUAAAAGAUGUCACAUUACAAGAGAUGUUUUUUGUCGACCAAAAUCUAUGAGGUUUCCUUUUGUGGGGCCCGUAUCAGAUGUACUGAUUUUGCUUAUAUAAUCACCACUACCCCCCCUCUCCAUGCCUGCCUGCUCUCUUUUCCAUAGCAAUACUGUUUCCCACUUUUCUGUGCUCCUCCCUCUUCUACACCAUAGCCAUAUAUAUCCUUGUCUUUUUAACCAUCUCUAGCUAGACCUCCCUGUCCUCUCUUUAAGGGCAAAGCACCGUACAAAUUGAAGGGCGCUUUGCUCACCACAGUAGAGAUUGUAGGGUUUAGUGGUAACCUAGAACGGACACUUGGCACUAUGAAGGAGGGUGGCAGGAAACAAGGUGCACCCUCACCAUGUGCAGCAUGCAAGCUUCUAAGGAGGAGGUGCGCUCAAGAUUGCGUGUUUGCCCCUUAUUUUCCAGCAGAUGAGCCUCAGAAGUUUGCUAAUGUGCACAAGGUUUUUGGUGCCAGUAAUGUCAACAAGAUGUUACAGGUCGGUUCCUAUCUAGCUACUCUCCUUAGUCUUUACAACACUUUUAAGUCUUCAUCUUUCAGAAAACGAACUUAAGGGUAGGAUUUGGAGCAACUUCAUGGGCAGACAAAAUGACUUCUUUCUACUUUGAUUGAACUUAAAGCUAAACUUUUGAACUAUAAUUUGAAGUCAUUUUUACAUGGUUUGGGGGUGAUAGUUUUCUUCUGAAGUUGUUGCUUCCUUAAUUUGAUUCCCAUUUUGAUGAUCUUUAGUUGAUUUUACAUGUGUGUACAAAAAAUACUUGUGAAAUCUUUGGGGAGGUUCCUAUAAUUCGAAGAAAGACGUUUUAGAGUGAUGGGGAGAUGCUUUUUUUUUUUCAAUCCAUAUACAAAAUUAAGUGUGUUUAACAAAUAAUUAACAUCAAUCCAUCUACAUGAUAGAUGAGUUUAGCCUCCUAAUUCUUUUUUUUUUUUUUAAGAAAAAAAAAGAGGCCCUUGUCUCUAUCCCAUCGAAUGAAGAAUUAGGAGGCUAACUCUUAAUCUAACUGGGGUUAAGAUGGGAGUGCAUACAAAUAUUUUUGUAAAAAAUAUAUGUUAUGGGUGGUUUCGCUUUCUACUAGUAGUUGCUGGCCAUGUGAUAUAUUUUAUUUUAUUUUUACCAAUCAAGGGCUGUUUUGUUUUUUUUUUUUUUAAAGAAAAGAAAUCACGUGAAGUUGUUGAUUUGUAAAUUGCACUCAAUAAUUUUAAUAAUUUAGGGAUGACAAGAUAGAAGCUGGACUUUUUUAAAAAAAUGACCCCCCUAGAUCAUAAAACGCUUACAGACUUGUCGUCAUCUUUAAUGAGAGGGACACUAAUGCCAUUUUCUAAAAAGAGCUUGAUUUUUUUUUAUCGAGGAAAAGAUUUUUUGUUUUAUGUGUUAAAAAAAAUUCGGUGGACGAAGGAAGCUUGUAAUUCCAAUAAAAAACUGACAGAGACAGGCACCCCAGAAGAGAAGAAUGUAGCACCUUGCAAUUGACCAAAUGAAAAAUCAUGCAAGAAAACUAAGUAUAAUUAUACUUGAUCUCUGUACACACAUCAGCAUAAAUGACUCAUGCUUAAUGUAAUCAUGAUAUCAUGUGCACAUGGCCAACAUGAAUUUUCAAUUUUAUUAAUAGAAAUAAUUAUUAUUUCAAUAAAGAUAAGAUAGGUAUAUCAGGUAUGUGUAGGAUCCUUCGAGUUUGAAAUUCAAGAUCAAAACACUUGGUAAUACCGUAAAAUUGAAGAAAUAAAACAGUCCCUUGUGUUUAUCAGGAACUACCGGUGCAUCAGCGAGGAGAUGCGGUUAGCAGCAUGGUGUAUGAAGCUAAUGCCAGGGUGCGUGACCCGGUGUAUGGGUGCGUGGGUGCUAUAUCAUCUCUACAGCAACAAAUUGAUGCACUCCAGACCCAGUUGGCACUGGCUCAGGCAGAGGUGGUGCACCUGCGGGUGAGGCAGACAGCAACACUAUCGAACCACGGGCUAAGUCCUGCUAGCCCGAGUAACAGUGGGUCACCAUCUUCUAGGCUCAUGGGGUCCCAAAUGAAACCGAUGUUCGACAUGGAUAUGGUGGAUCACACCAGCUUGGGAGAGUCAAUGUGGUCAUGUUAGGAUAUGCAAGCUACCUUUUUAUGCCAUGCCUACCCUUACUACUACUAUAUCUAGGUUGAUUCUGUCUCCAAUGUUUUCGAUCUACAUAUAUAUAUAUAUUUUUUUAAUUUUGAUAUCGUUAUUGUGUAUCUAUGGGUAAAGGGGUAUAGCACAAAAUAGUGGUAGUGAUGGCAGAGAUGGCGGUGGUGGUGAUUGUCUCAGCGUAAAUUUAUUUAGAUAUUUUGUUUUUAGAUUAACUGAUUUAACACUAUAGUAAUUAGUUAUAUACUGGUUGAUUGUGGACUUUAUGGGUAAACAUUGGAUGGAUUUUCCAUAUGAGCUGAGUAAUAUAUUGACUUUGGUUUUCCCUCUUUUUGUUUUUAGUCAUGGUGCAAUGUUUUCACUUUGGUUGAUAAUGUACAGAUUCUUUAAUGAUUUUGUAUAUUGUGUUCUUACAAGAAUAGCAUAUGCUCAUAUUUGUACACAUCUAUCCCCAACUUUCCAUCGAUGGGACUGGAAUCGAGAGGUUGGAAAGUCUAUUAUAAGAUACGUGAAGAAUUAGCAACGGACACAAGCAUCUACUGACAUAGACUUGCAUGCCAGAUCAACUGUUUGUGAUUUGCACAAGUCAUGAUUUUUUAAUGUUUUUUUCCUUUUAAUCUGCGAGUAAUUCAUGCUAAUUUACUAGGAAAACAUACCCAUUAAACGCUAGCAGAAAACUUACCUAUAAUUUGGCCCAUUAAUGUUUUUUUCCUUUUAAUCUGCGAGGAAUGGGCUUGAAAUGCUAGCAGAAAACUUACCUAUAAUUUGGCCCAAUGAAAAGACCUGUCAAACUUCAAGUUUUUGUCUCCAUGAAAGGAAGCCCAUUAAACGUGUUUAUCAAACUUUGAGGUCGGUGUAUUUCAUCUUCUUCCUCCAGUCUUUAGCAAUGAGAGUAUCUCAGAGAAACUUUAAGAGUGAAAUGUUUAUAGCAGCAGCCUUCCUGAUUAUUUCUAGCAACAAUCCUAAAUGUCACCAAAUAGAUCAAUUACUUUACUCCACAGCAAGCUUCUUUUUCUAGGAAAAGCUGCGAGCGAUAAUAAGCAAGUCAGCUAGUCUACUCCUCUCUAUGUUUUUUUUUUCCUCGCUGGAGCGUUAUGGCAUGGCACAUUGCUCGGUAAUUUUUGGGUUGCUGGAAAGUAAUUUUUUUUAAAAAAAUGAAUUUCUGUUUUUUAUUGUUUAAUAGUAUUAUAAAAAAUAAGUUUUGAUAAACUAGUCAACUUCUUACCACACAAGGAAAAGAAAACAUUGUCUUGAGAUUUUCGUAGUGUCCAACAUAAGCAUUCGAUACAUACAAGUAAAUGUUCAGAAAUAAAACACAAGAAACCUCCCCCUCCUCGUCAACACACGAUCCCAAGCAAUGCACCACUCUUGCACUCCUUUCCUUAGCCAGUCCCUCAAAUAUAUCUGUAACAAAAUAGUUGUGGUGAUAAAAACAAAAUCAACAUUGGCAUUAGCAUCGAAGAACCGAAUUAAAUAAGCACAUAAUUUUUAGUUUAAUUUUUGGCCCAUUAAUUAAUCCCACCACCAAUCACUAAUGAAACAGUCCAAAAUGCCACACACACACACACACACACACACACAAAAAAAAAACUAGUUCAUUGAAUAGUAUAAAUAAAAUGGGAACAAAAUCCCCGCACCAGUUCUAAAUAGACCUCAUACUCUUAACUAUACUUACAAUUUGGACCUGCCUAUGGAAGUAAAUGGAAUUCUACUAGAAAUAUCGUAUUUGGUUAUAAUUUUAUUAUAUAAUUUAUGUUUAUGGAAGAUUCUCCAUCCAUAUCUGAUUUCUAAGUGAAUAAAGCAUGGAUGAUCUAAAAAAGGUACACAAACUAUAGAAAAAAGAGACAAACCUGGGCGGUGAUCUAAACAUCCUUGACAACAAGAUCACCGUUGACAAGCUCUCUGUAGGCAGCAACAGGCCAAGAAAAACCUCUAAAGAUCAAACCAGUAGCCAAAGGCACGUCAAUAAUGAUCUCCUUCAUUGCUGGCUUCUUCUCGUCACUUAUAGCAAUCAAGUAACUCCUACCAACCCAUCCAAUCCAUCCAGCAAUGUACAAGAACAAAAUCCCUGGUGUGAUAAACUCACCCCAGUGCCUUUGGUCACCGCUCACAAUCAAGUGAGGUAGCCCAUCUGAGCCACAUAGCAACCCUUGCUUCCCAUAGUUGUCAAACCU